AGGUGUGAAAUGUGUGCCAAGGGACAGAGCUACUUGCAUCAGUCUGGAAUCAACCAACGAGGCCGCGAAGAGAUCAUAAGAGCAAUAAAAAAGGAGUGCCAUGCAAGGCACUUCUCCACCCUUUUUCUCCCUUGAUGUAUUAGGAACUGUGAUGUACAAGCAACUGUGAUGCACUUAGGCGAAGUGCCCCUGGAUUCAGCUUUCUCUUUGCUUGUAGUCGAUUUCCAGCAGACCAUGCUAUUUGGUGUAUGGUUCAUGUAAAACCUUGCGUUGCUUUAUCUAUAUCUAUAUCUAUACCAAUAUAAAAAGACCCAAAGGGGUAGAUCUAAUUGAUCUCGGCCAUCAAACUAAGUUAAUUCAACUACCUAGACUGCUUCAAUGGCGAGCGUUAAACAUGUUUAACGUGCAAUUAAUAUCAUACCAAAUAUUGCACUAAUCAUAGAUUAACACACAAAUAAUAGUAUACCUAAUAUUCGCAUGCAAUUAAUAUAUUCCUAAAUAUUAACGUGUGUUGCAUGUGCGUAUUUACUAGUACAUAAAAUGGGCCGAAAGCCUAUUUCAUGAUUGUAGGAUCAGGUAUCGAACGGGGUGUCGUGAUUGUAGGAUCAGGUAUCGAACGGGGUGAAUGGGAGAUUCCACAAAUUCUUCGGAAAAACAUGUGUUCACCUAAUAUAAGUUUGGUUAGAGGGGUCAAGAUUAAACUGAGAAGACCAAAUAUUCAACCUAUUUACCUUGAGUUCAAGUCUUUGAGACAUUGCCCAAUCACUUGUGAUAUAUCUUCAAGGUAAUCUCUUUGACAUUCAGAGACAUGUUCUUUGUCAGUUCACAACUACUCUUGGACGCUUUUGAAUAGAUAACAGUCUAGUGGAUGCACAGUCCACAAGCGUAAUAGGGUGAAGACAAGUCGUCUAGUGGAUACACAGUCCACAAGUGUAAUAGGGUGAAGACAAAUUUAUGCAUAGUCCACAAGUGUAAUAGGGUGAAGACAAGUUCUUCGCUGAAGCUCAAUCACUUAGCAGAUUUUAGGCUCUAGGGUUUCUCCUCUCUUAGGAUUCUCUCAAUCUCUCCGGAAGGAUGGGUUGCUCGGGCGAAUUAAUUCUCUCACGGAGCAGUCAACCAUCAAAAGUUGAAGUGGGUGGCCAUUUAUGGCUGAGAGCAAUCUUGAGGGCAGAUAUGACUGUUUGAGGUGGUGGCCACCCAACUGUACACGCAACAUGUAGCAUGCCACACGUCACGAAAUGGUCGGAUUUCAAACGCAACCAAUGACUUGACUUGCGAAACAAGUCAGUCGACUCAACUGGCGAGGACUUUCUCUUCGGCAUACCGAAGAAUAUCACCUUGGGCACCGAAGAAAAACUAUCCGCUCAAAAGAGAUAUCCAAGUCUUCACUCAAAAAAUAAUUGUAACGCCCUCGAUGCGGCUAUAUCUCCCACGUGUCGAAGCACGACUUAGAGGCAUAACCGCAUUAAAAGCAAUGUCGCAAGUGAGGUAAUCUUCACACAACCCAUGUAAUACAUAAGGGAAAGAGAUACAUAGUUGGCUUACAAUCGCCACUUCACACAAAUACAUAAAUAAAGCAUUACAUCAACCAGUUACAAACAAGGCCCGACUACGGAGCCAAAAUAAAAAAAGACUACCCCAAAUGCUACACAGAUCCCCGAUCGACCCCAACUGGGCUCCACUGCUGAUCGACUAGAACGAAACAACAUAAAGGACAAGAUCUUCAUCGAGCUCCUCCUGAGCUUGGUUGCGUCAUCUGCACGGACUCAUCGGCACCUGCAAGCUGGUUUUGGAAGUAUCUGUGAGUCACGGGGACUCAGCAAUCUCACACCCUCGCGAUCAAUACUAUUUAAGCUUAUGGGUAAGGUAAAGGUAUGAUGUGGAGCUGCAGCAAGCGACUAGCAUAUAUGGUGGCUAACAUACGCAAAUGAGAGCGAGAAGAGAAGGCAAAGCACGGUCGAGAAACUAUGAUCAAGAAGUGAUCCUAGAACAACCUACGUCAAACAUAACUCCAACACCGUGUUCACUUCCCGGACUCCGCCGGAAAGAGACCAUCACGGUUACACACGCGGUUGAUGUAUUUUAAUUAAGGUCAACUUCAGGUUUUCUACAACCGGACGUUAACAAAUUCCCAUCUUCCCAUAACCGCGGGCACGGCUUUCGAAAGUUCAAAUCCCUGCAGGGGAGUCCCAACUUAGCCCAUGACAAGCUCUCACGGUCAACGAAGGAUAUACCUUCUCCCGAGACAUUCUGAUCAGACUCGGUAUCCCGGUUCUACAAGACAACUUCGACAAGUCAAAACAAAUCCAGCAACACUGCCCGAAUGUGCCGACAAAUCCCGAUAGGAGCUGCACAUAUCUCGUCCUCAGGGCACACUCAGAUGAGACUAGCUACGAGUAAAACCAACCCUCAAGUUUCCCCGAGAUGGUCCCGCAGGCAGCUCAGUUCGGACCAACACUCAAAGGAGCACUGGCCCGGGGGGGGGGGGGGUUAAAAUAAAGAUGACCCUUGAGUCCGCGGAACCCAAGGGAAAAAGGGGCUAGGUGGCGAAUGGUAAAACCAAAGUUGGGCAUUGCUGGAAGAGUUUUAUUCAAGGCGAACUGUCAAGGGGUUCCCAUUAUAACCCAACCGCAUAAGGAACGCAAAAUCCGGGAACAUAACACCGAUAUGACGGAAACUAGGGUGGCAAGAGUGGUACAAAACACCAGGCAUAAGGCCGAGCCUUCCACCCUUUACCAAGUAUAUAGAUGCAUUAAUUAAAUAAGAUAUAUUGUGAUAUCCCAACAAGUAAACAUGUUCCAACAAGGAACAACAUCUCCAUGUUCCAACAAGGAACAAACUUCAAUCUUCACCUGCAACUAACAACGCUAUAAGAGGGGCUGAGCAAAGCGGUAACAUAGCCAAACAACGGUUUGCUAGGACAAGGUGGGUUAGAGGCUUGGUUCAACAAUAUGGGAGGCAUGAUAAGCAAGUGGUAGGUAUCGCAGCAUAGGCACAGCAAAGAGCGAGCAACUUGCAAGCAAAGAUAGAAGCGAUUUCGAGGGUAUGGUCAUCUUGCCUGAGAUCCCGCAAGGAAGAAGAACGAGUCCAAGAAGAAGACAAACGGGCGUAGUCGAACGGAUCCUCACAACGCGACAUUAUCGGAACCAACCGGAAGAAGCAACACCGGAAAGAAGCACACAACAUAGUAAACAACCACCACAUAAGCAUGGCAUGAUGCGCAAACAAGUAUGAUGCAUGUCCGGUUUAAUGAGGCAUGGCAUGGCAAAGUGCACAAGCAAUCCUACAAAUUAAGUGGAGCUCAAUAUGCAACUCCGUUGCAUAUUGACGAAACACCACGUGACUUAUUUAGUUUGAACUCGUUUAUGUACCAAACAAGAUUAAAUGUUGAUUAACAUGGCAAGAGGUGAAGCAAAGUAAAACUACCUAUCUAGUCAAGUUUAAAUGAGGCCGGAAGCAACGAACAACAAUUCCGGUAAAUCCCCGUAUGCAUAUAUUAGGGUUGGUACUGUUCUGCCCUAAACCAUAUUUUAUAGUUGUUAAACAUGCAAAGAUAUGCCACCAUGUUAAACUAGGCAAAAUUCUACCCCAUUUACAUAUAAAGUUUAUUAAAUUCGGAGCUACGGUUAAAUAGUUAUGAAUUAAAUCAUUUUAGCAUAGCAUAGGAGCAAAUUUAACCAAACGGCAUUUUAAACAUAUCAAACAUGGAGGAAAAUGGCAUAAUAUGAAAGUAGAUGCAAUUCUAAGCAUAUUUCAUAUAUAAAGUUUUUCCAUAUGAUGCACAGUUUGAGAUAUAUGAUAUGCAUGAAGUUUGAGGGUUUUCCUGCAAUUCUGUUUUUAACUGGAUAAAUAGAUAAAUCACUCCUCAGGAAAAAAACAGGAGUCGGGCCGAAACUGGCCCGAACUAGGCUGCACAGGAGCAAACAGGAGGUGGGCUUCCUCAUGUUGGGCUGAGGCCCAGUCAACGCCGUGGUGGGGCAGGCUGGAUCUGUAGGGAAGCAGCGGGCCGACGUGUAGUGCGGGCGGCUGGGCCUUGGCGCCGGAGAUGCGUGGCAGGACGAGGCCGAGGAGAGAUGGGCCGUGGCGCUCGUCCAUCACCGGAUCGAGUCAACGAGGGCGGCGCUCAUCCUGUUGCAUGAAGCAGAGGAGCGAGUGGGCGUCGUGGCUGCAGGGACUUGGUGGGGCGACGAAGAAGGUCUGGAACGGGUGGCACGGAGCGGAUCUGGAUGGCAGUGAAGUGGGCCCGAUGGCUGGACAGCGGGGCGAGCAGCGGCAACGGCGAGCGUCAGCUGCAAGGCCUCAUGGCGGGGACGAAUCUCUCCGGCGAGGAAGUUAGGGGCUUAGUCACCUGCGAUGAUGGCCAUGGAGGAAUUAGAGAGAGAGAAGGAGGAGAUGACGCCAGGGAGAAGGGAAAAAGGAGAGGGGUGCGAGGGGCUGGCCUGGCAACGGCUCCGCUGCUGCUGCUGGACGACGACGAGGAGGCAGGAGCAGGGGGCCUCGGUUGCUGCUGCAGUUCGCAUGCUCCGGCACGGGCGGAGCCAUCAACGAGGAGAAGAGAGGUGAGGUGGCAGUGGCCUUGCAGGUGACUACGCUCAGGAUCGAGGAGGGACAUGGGGGAGCGCUGGUUGGUUGGUGCAGGGGGAAAGAGAGGAUCCCGAGGUGGGGAAUGAGUGCGGCGGCGGCUAGGAGGAUCCCUAGAAAUUAGGGAUUUGGUCUGAAAUUAGACUAGGGGUGGACUAUAUAUAUACAUCACGGAUUAGGUUAGGGGCUAUCUCGACCCUACGAUCGCAAUCGGACAAUCGCGGAUAAAAUAGCUAGGGAGUCCAAAUAUGGAAACGGUGAUAUUUUGUAGAUGUUUGGGGAUGAUCCGGACACAACGGUGACGACUCCCCGGGUCGGGUCCGGGACAGCUUUCGGGCGCGCGCGCGAGGAGGGCCGCGGGCUGACGAGAGAGGUUAGGUAGGGCCUGGCGGUGAGUAGUGGGUUGUGUAGACGGUCUCGAGCUGAGAGAAGAGAAGAGAGGAAGGCCCGAUGACUGUUUCCGGAGACCGAAAACGUCCGACGUUAGACCGGCUGCUAUUGCCGCUAUAGUUUAACGGUUGGGCUAUCAAACGAACUCUGAAUGUGAUGAAACUUGGCAGGCGGUCUAUGUACACUAUAAUAAGACCACACGUCAACUCUCAUCCCAUUCCGAGAACAUUUUCCGGCCACUUAUAAAAUAAUAUUUCGGACGUGCCGCAGGCGCGUGCAAGUGUGGUUGGGCUCAGAACGGACAACGGAGAGAACUGGGGGAACCCGGACGGAUGCAAGUUUUGAAAACAUGAUGAUGCAAUGCACAUGAUGACAUGACAAGAUGCAACACGCAAGCAAAUGACAUGGCAACGACAGUGAAUAACUGGAAGACACCUGGUGCAACGGUCUCGGGGCAUUACAACACUCCACCACUACGAGAGGAUCUCAUCCCGAGAUCUAGAAUGGCACCGGAGGGAAAAACGGAAGAGAAAGAGAAGAGGUAAAACCAAGUUGCUCCUUUGACCAAUGAGUGAAACCAAAGAACCUUGCAAAGGUUAAGCCAUUUCGAGAAAAGAAUACAACGGAGAUAAAUGAAGUUGAAAGCACUCUGUUAGGAGAGAGGAACAAGGAAGAACAAAUUCAGGCAUCACUCUGACUGAAAAGAAAAGGAAUUGAAUAAGAACUUGGUAAGAUGAGAAGAUACUUGAUGAAAUCACAACACACUGCCUCCGGAACUAUUGAAUGAAUGGAACAAGGGGCAAGAAGGAUCUCAGACAGCACUCCGGUUGAAAAGAGAUGAAAGGCUUGAUAAGGCGAAAAGAACUUGAGCAAAAUGGCACAACACUCCGGUUUAAAAGGAUAAACCAAGAAAAGAACACGAUCUUGACAAAACAAAAAGAUGGGUUGAAGAGAACAACAUCACAAAGCCUCCGGAAUGAAAGAAUAGAAGAUAGAUAAUUGAAAUAGGAUAAUUGAGAAGAAAAUGCCAAUUUCUGCCACAAAAGAGUUUGAAAAGGCAUCUUUAGGAGAAGGGUCAAACGGAGUUGUUGGAAAAACCAACAACGAAAAGAUAAGCUUGAUAUGGACUUAUAGAAGAUACCCCAAAAUUAUGAGGUGACAACUUGCCACUCACGGAAUAGAUUUGAUUGGAAAGAACAAGGAGACGAGAAACUUAUUUCACCGGGAGGGUAGAUGAAUAACUUGGGUCAUUUAUAAACACCAUAGAUAGCAACAAUCCUUAGGGAAGGCUUUAGGUGAAAUAUAACCCAAGAUAACUUCAAAGAAGAGAUUGAUGGAUUUAAAAUACCUCAUUCCUAACAACAUGUGAAUCAUGAAACAUGAACCCAAAUUAUCAAGAAUGACAUAAUACCACCUCCAAUGAUACGAUAGAAAGAAUUGCAGUCCGGAUUGCAAAAUGAAGAAUGAUUGAGCUCCUUAGAAAAGAAUGUUGAUGAACGCUUCGAGAAGGAAAUAAAACCUCGAUGAACCAUCAUGUAGAACAUCCAUGAGGAACUCCGGUAAACAAAAUGAUGAUAAAAGCAAGAGAAGUUGAAAACACAAGGUGAAACCUUGUAAUGAUUUAGAAGGAGCUUCGCAACGAGAUAAUGCGGAAAAGCUAGGAACUUCGGAAAAGAAAGAUGAAGCAAAUGAACCCGAGAAUUUGAUGAGCCUCCGGAAUACGGAAUUAAUCACUUGGAUGGAACAAGAAUAAGAAUUACAUUAUGCGUAUCCUUCACCAAUUUAAAUUGAUGACAAGCAGCGGAUUUGACAUACUACUUAUUCUCGUAGAGAGCAUUAAGAUAGAUAUAGCGCCAACUUGAGAAGGUCUUCAAUGAAUCACCGGUCGGGAUUGGAAAGAAUGAAUGAAUUAGCAUGAUAACCAUGGAAGAGAGAUCUUGAACGAACCACCGUAAGAAUUGAAAAGGAACGAAUAAAACAUGAGAAAACACCAGGAAGGAUCAGCAAAUAAACGAAGAUGCUUGAGAGAAUUUAGAUCCAUGAGAACGAAAAGAUUACGAGCUGAUUAGAGAAUCCUUGAUUUAAGCACUGGUAUGAUUUAGAGUAUGAGAGCUAAAGGCUGGAUUGAAAAAAUUCUUAGGUGAUGGGUCCGGAUAAACAAACUGAACAGAAUCUUGAAUUGCUCUGGAUAGGUGAAAAGAAUUUCACAAUCGAAAACAAUUAUGAGAGGAUGGUACGAAGCUAGAGCUAUGAAUCUUGAAGAGAAAGGAGCAAGAUUUAGAGGAAAAAUCUUCUUUGGUCUUCAAAUCCAAGAAUGACGACAAGAAACACCACCAAAUUGUUGAGGCACUCCGGAAUGAAUAAUGGAAAGGUUGAGCCAAUGAUGAAAAAAAUGAAAAAAAUCUUCGAGAAAGGCAUUUGACUGAUGACAAUUCAUUCUUACGUCAAACUUCGAAAAGAAUUUGAGAAUAACUCCGGGAAAAUAAGAAGAGUCAGGUAAGAUCCUAGGAAAAAGACCUGUGGGUUAGGGUCCACUCAAAAGAAAACACCGUUGAUAUGAUUACUUGAAAAAGGAGAUAGCACCGGUUGAAUUAAAAGUCUUGAAUGAGAGAACGUCCUCGAAGAUAUGUUUGAAUGGAUCUUGAAUGAAAAUACGAGCAUUCAGAGAUAUCUUUAGCACUCCAGAACAAUUGAAUAGUGAGAAUGUAACACCCUCGAUGCGACUAUAUCUCCCACGUGUCGAGGCACGACUUAGAGGCAUAAUCGCAUUGAAGGCAUAUGUCGCAAGUUAGGCAAUCUUCACAAACAUCCCAUGUAAUAGAUAAUAAAAGGGGAGAUAACAUAGUUGGCUUACACUCUCCACGUAAAUCAAGUACAUAAAUAACAUUACAUCAUCCAAACACUCAUGGCCCGACUAUGGCGCCAAAAUAAAAGAUAACCCAACAUGCGACACGGUCCCAAUCACCCCCAACUGGGCACCACUACUGAUCAUCGGGAAAGGAAACAUAGUAACGUUGAGAGUCCUCGUCGAACUCCCACUUGAGCUCAAGCGCGUCUCCUGGAGCGGAAUCAUCAGGCCCUGCAUCUGGUGUAAUAGUAACCUGUGAGCCACAGGGACUCAGCAAUCUCGCACCCUCGCGAUCAAGACUAUUUAAGCUUAAAGGUAAGGCCAGGUAAAUAUAUAUGGAGUUGCAGGAAGCGACUAGCAAAUAUGGUGGCUAACUUAUUCGCAAAAGAGAGCGAGAAGAGGAGGCAAAGCACGAGCGAGAAACUAGGGAGCAACCUACGCAAACAUUACUCCAACACCGUUUCCGCUUCCUGGACUCCGCCGAGAAGAGGCCAUCACGGCAACACACUCAGUUGAUUCAUUUUAAUUAAGUUAAGGUUCAAGUUAUCUACAACCGGACAUUAACAAAUUCCCAUCUGCCCAUAACCGCGGGCAUGGCUUUCGAAAGUUCAAAACCCUGCAGGGGAGUCCCAACUUAGCCCAUGACAAGCUCUCAUGGUCAACGAAGGAAUAGACCUUCUCCCAAGACGUUCCGAUCAGACUCGGUAUCUCGGUUCUUCAAAACAACUCCGACAAUGGUAAAACAAGUCCAGCAACACCGCCCGCUGUGCCGACAAAUCCCGAUAGGAGCUGCACAUAUCUCGUUCUCAGGGCACACCGGAUAAGCUAAGCGUAUGGGAGCCAAUGUAACCCAAGUUACCAAGGGACGGCCCCGCACGGUGCUCUAGGUUGGACCAACGCUCAGAGGAGCACUGGCCCGGGGGGGGGGGGUUAAAAUAAGAUGACCCUUGAGUUCGCGAAACCCAAGGGAAAAAGGGCUAGGUGGCAAAUGGUAAAACCAAGGUUGGGCAUUGCUGGAGGAGUUUUAUUCAAGGCGGACUGUCAAGGGGUUCCCAUUAUAACCCAACCGCGUAAGGAACGCAAAAUCCGGGAACAUAACACCGAUAUGACGGAAACUAGGGCGGCAAGAGUGGAACAAAACACUAGGCGAGAGGCCGAGCCUUCCAUCCUUUACCAAGUAUAUAGUUGCAUUAAGAUAACAUAGCAAUAUAAUGAUAUCCCAACAAGUAAAUAAAUGUUCCAACAAGGAGCGGCCUCCAAUCUUCACCUGCAACUAGCAACGCUAUAAGAGGGGUUGAGCAAAGCGGUAACAUAGCCAAACAACGGUUUGCUAGGACAUAGUGGGUUAGAGGUUUGACAUGGAAAUUUGGGAGGCUUGAAAGCAAGUGGUAGGCAUCGUAGCAAUGGCAUAGCAAAAGAGCGAGCAAACUAGCAUAGCAAAGAUAGUAGUGAUUUCGAGGGUAUGAUCAUCUUGCUUGCACAGUUGUCAGAGUUGACUGGAUCCUCGAAAGCAAACUCAACGGGCUCCUCAUUAGCGAACUCGUCUCCCGGCUCUACCCAAACAAGACAAACAAGCAACAAGGAUACAAUCAACCACGUGCAAGGAUCAAGCAAUAUGAUGCAAUGAUGGUAUGCUAUGCGGGAUGCGAUGCGGGAUGCAUAUGCAAGAUAUGACAGGAAAAGCAAGAACCUGGCCUCAACUUGGAAAUCCAAGUGUGCCACUGGAAAGAUGAGAUGAAAUCGCUUGAAAACGAUAUAAAGAUCAUCGGAAUCGGAGUUACGGUUUGCAAAUGGCAAGCGAUUCAAAUAUGACACCGGUCUGCGAUUUACAGCACGUAGCCAUCUAAAUGCAAUGAGAUGAACAUGCUACAGCACCCAAACAUGACAACAAAAUACAUGGCAGGGAUGCAUUCAAGAUGCUUAACAAAAGUCUAGCACUGAGCUACAGCCAAUUCAUCCCUUAACAGGUUAAAACAAGCAUGGCAAAAAUGCAUAUGACAAACAGAUCUCAGACUUAGUGAAAUUAACACUUGUCUAAAAUUUCAGAUCAGGUAGCACUCUUCGGAGCAACAAAACUACAUGCUACAGGACCUGAACAUGGCAAAGUAAAGCAUGGCAUGGAGCUACUCAAAGAGCUUAACAAAAGUCCCUUAGUGACCUUGAGUCAAAAGGGAUCAGAAAAUACAAUUGCAAGCAUGUGAACAUAGCAAAAACAUAAUCAGUUUUCAGACUUAGUAAAAACUGGCACAUGCUGAAACAUAACUCAAGUAGGCAUGUUUACGAGCUCGAUGCACUCACUACGGUGCAAGUCAUGACAAACUAAGCAUACAUCCGUCAAUAAUACACAAAAUGCAAGCUAGAUAUGGCAAGAACAAAAGUAUAGCAUGCACGGAUCAACUACAACAUCAUCGGCAAAAUUGCAAACUAGUUGACAAUCUGCCCAGAUUCACAAAGUAGCAAAAGUAGAGCUCGAUUGACUCAAGCUAGGGUGCUCCAUAAUUGCAAACAAAGACAUGGAUGGAUAGAGAACUACAAUAUUAACAAAACAUCCUUACUGAUCAUCCUCAAAAGAGGCACGGAUCACUAGGAAACAACAUGAACAUAUGGCAUCAUGAGAUAAACAGAUCAAGGACUUAGUGAAAUUGCUAAGUCCCUGAAAACAGAAUUACCGAGUGCACCACUUUGCAAGCUUGCACUAGUCACCACACUCAUCACAAAAAUACAUGGGUUGCACCUCUGGAAAGAUGACAAAACCCUUAACAAAACAUAUGUAGAACAUCAGGGCAUAUCAUGCACACAUUAAUCAUGGCAAAAAUGACAAAAAGCUAAACGGAGUAGCAGAUCUGACAAUUAUCUCAAGUAGCCCUCUUCUAACAACAUUUCUGGCAUCAAGAUUAACUCAAAUGAAAAUGAUGCAAUGGAAUGAAAUGAUGUACUCUCUGAGAUGAACAUUUUGAUAUACUAUGUGCAUGAAUCGGAGCUACGGAUGCAAAGUUACGAGGCCACGAACAUGAGCAUAUGGAUCUGCAAUUUCGGGACUUAGAGAAAAAAAUCAACCUCCGGAUUAGGGUUUACUGUUCACGGAUCUGGAUCUCGGCGAGAACACUGUUCACCGGCGGCGCGGAAGCCGAGGAUGGCCGGACUUGGCGGCGCGCCGGCCGGAGGAGGUCGAGGGGCUCGCGGGGGCUCUCGCCGGAGCACGGGGCGGCGGAGAGGCGGCGGGGAGGCGAGGCCGGCCGGGCGGCGGAGUGGGGUGGACNNNNNNNNNNNNNNNNNNNNNNNNNNNNNNNNNNNNNNNNNNNNNNNNNNNNNNNNNNNNNNNNNNNNNNNNNNNNNNNNNNNNNNNNNNNNNNNNNNNNNNNNNNNNNNNNNNNNNNNNNNNNNNNNNNNNNNNNNNNNNNNNNNNNNNNNNNNNNNNNNNNNNNNNNNNNNNNNNNNNNNNNNNNNNNNNNNNNNNNNNNNNNNNNNNNNNNNNNNNNNNNNNNNNNNNNNNNNNNNNNNNNNNNNNNNNNNNNNNNNNNNNNNNNNNNNNNNNNNNNNNNNNNNNNNNNNNNNNNNNNNNNNNNNNNNNNNNNNNNNNNNNNNNNNNNNNNNNNNNNNNNNNNNNNNNNNNNNNNNNNNNNNNNNNNNNNNNNNNNNNNNNNNNNNNNNNNNNNNNNNNNNNNNNNNNNNNNNNNNNNNNNNNNNNNNNNNNNNNNNNNNNNNNNNNNNNNNNNNNNNNNNNNNNNNNNNNNNNNNNNNNNNNNNNNNNNNNNNNNNNNNNNNNNNNNNNNNNNNNNNNNNNNNNNNNNNNNNNNNNNNNNNNNNNNNNNNNNNNNNNNNNNNGGCCGGGUGCCACAUGGCGGGCGGCGGUUGGCGGCGGUGACGAGCAGACGCGUCCGGCCGGUUUCGGACGUGUCCGGCCGGUGCGGGGGCGAUUUCUAGGGUUUGAGAGGGAGGAGAUCCGCGAAUUUCGGGAGGGGGCUUUAAAUAGAGGUAGAGGGAGCUAGGAGAGUCCAAAUGAGGUGCGGUUUUCGGCCACGCGAUCGUGAUCGAACGCUCUAGAAGAUGGAGUAGAGUUAGGUGGGUUUUGGGCCAAAAUGGAGGGGUGUUGGGCUGCAACACACACGAGGCCUUUUUGGUCCCUCGGUUAAUCGUAGGAGUAUCAAACGAAGUCCAAAUGGUACGAAACUUGACAGGCGGUCUACCGGUAGUAAACCAAGGCCGCUUGGCAAGUCUUGGUCCAAUCCGGAAAUGUUUAAUCCCCACACACGAAAGAAAGGUAGAAAUGACCACCGGAGGAGAACGAAGCGCCGGAAUGCAAAACGGACAACGGGGAAAAUGCUCGAAUGCAUGAGACGAACACGUAUGCAAAUGCAAUGCACAUGAUGACAUGAUAUGAGAUGCAUGACAACAAAAACAACACACGGAGACAAAGACCCGAACCCGAGGAAAAAUAAAUAACUUAACGCCGAAACGACAAGAGUUGGAGUACAAAUUGGGAAAGUUACAACCGGGGUGUUACAGAGAAGUGGAUGAUUAAGAGGUGCACCGGCAUGAGAAGGUAUUUGAAACAAGGAAAAAGGAUAUGAUCAACAAAGUUUGAAUUGGAUCCACCGGAGAAGAAAAAAGAAUGAAUAAUGAUGAGCUAGUAGAACAUCUUCAUGGAAACCACCGGGUAAGAACAUUGACAGAAAAGGAAUGAAGGGGCCUCGCAUCAAUAUGAUGGAUACUUGAUUAAGAUAUCUGAGUCCUUGAAGAAAAAGGGUGGGUGGGCGGGAAAAACAAAGACAACUUGGGAUGGAUGAAACGAACACCGUUGAGAAGAACUGAUAAUUGAUCUUGCUGAUAUUUAAAUGAUCGGAUCCACUUGAAGAGAAACACUCCAGAUGAGAAGGAUUGACGAGACAGUCUCGAUUAUCAUGAAGGAUUAGUAUUCACAUAGGAGUAUGAGAACACCCUUUAGAGAAGGUAUGGAAUCAACAUUUGAUUUCGAAGCAACUCGAAUAUCACAACUCAAAACAAAAACAAAGGAUUGGCUUGCAGAAUAAGCCGGAACAAACAUAUGAUAGAGAUUUCGUCCAAAGUUUUCAUGGUGGGGCCUACACGGGCUCGAUCGUACAGCACCAUCAUGUACAAGGCAGUGCACAUGACAUAGGAAGCGUCCCCGAGUCGGCAUAGCAAGGACUCUUUAAGACACAACAAGACCACUGUAAAACCAACCGUGGAUAGGCGUACCACUAGACGUCGAACCCCAAUUUCAUAUCAUACAUCUGUUGGAAAGAUAUCCUAAGAGCUACUUGAAUUCCCACUUAUAAACUCCCGAAAUUUUCCCAGUUAUGCAAUCAGGUGUUGGGGAUACGGGGGAAGCAUAAUAUCUCACCCAAAACUAGCAAAUCCUACAUCCAGCUGUAUCCAUCCUUCAACACAUAACCAAGAAACCUUCGGAAAUCAUCUACCUCAACCUUCGAAAAGCAUCCAUUAUACGAGUUAUGGCAAUACUCCCGAACUCCCGCCCCAGUACUGGGUGGCGUUGAGGUUAUCUCACCAACAACUGCAUAAACGAGAUUUUCGAUGUCGGCGAAACUAAUCUCAGGUAUUCCAGAACUGCAACGAUAAAAUUGCGACGACAACACCUCAGAGCUCAACUCCCCGGGACACUGCCACAACCCCUAAAUGCAGGAGGCACCAAGAUCAAUGUUCUCGUCACAAAACCAUCGGAACGAUUCCAAGAUACCCGCGUGAUCCUAACAUUUUUUAGUGAAAUUUGAGAAGAGAAGAGUCAAAACUCUAUGUCAGGAUGCCUUACCAGAGCGAUGAAGGGACUGGGAGUAAAAGAAUUCCUAAACUCUCCGAUAUAUAAUUCCUAAAAAGACUCAAAACAUUUUUCUAGACUCAACUCGUCAGCUAUUUCGAUCAAGCAGUGGGGCUCCUAUGGUCGGGGAAGGCUCUGAUUACCAACUUGUAACACCCUCGAUGCGGCUAUAUCUCCCACGUGUCGAAGCACGACUUAGAGGCAUAACCGCAUUGAAAGCAAUGUCGCAAGUGAGGUAAUCUUCACACAACCCAUGUAAUACAUAAGGGAAAGAGAUACAUAGUUGGCUUACAAUCGCCACUUCACACAAAUACAUAAAUAAAGCAUUACAUCAACCAGUUACAAACAAGGCCCGACUACGGAGCCAAAAUAAAAGAAGACUACCCCAAAUGCUACACAGAUCCCCGAUUGACCCCAACUGGGCUCCACUACUGAUCGACUAGAACGAAACAACAUAAAGGACAAGAUCUUCAUCAAGCUCCUCCUAAGCUUGGCUGCGUCAUCUGCACGGACUCAUCGACACCUGCAAGCUGGUUUUGGAAGUAUCUGUGAGUCACGGGGACUCAGCAAUCUCACACCCUCGUGAUCAAGACUAUUUAAGCUUAUGGGUAAGGUAAAGGUAUGAGGUGGAGCUGCAGCAAGCGACUAGCAUAUAUGGUGGCUAACAUACGCAAAUGAGAGCGAGAAGAGAAGGCAAAGCACGGUUGAGAAACUAUGAUCAAGAAGUGAUCCUAGAACAACCUACGUCAAACAUAACUCCAACACCGUGUUCACUUCCCGGACUCCGCCGGAAAGAGACCAUCAUGGUUACACACGCGGUUGAUGUAUUUUAAUUAAGGUCAACUUCAGGUUUUCUACAACCGGACGUUAACAAAUUCCCAUCUUCCCAUAACCGCGGGCACGACUUUCAAAAGUUCAAAUCCCUGCAGGGGAGUCCCAACUUAGCCCAUGACAAGCUCUCACGGUCAACGAAGGAUAUACCUUCUCUCGAGACAUUCCGAUCAGACUCGGUAUCCCGGUUCUACAAGACAACUUCGACAAGUCAAAACAAAUCCAGCAACACUGCCCGAAUGUGCCGACAAAUCCCGAUAGGAGCUGCACAUAUCUCGUCCUCAGGACACACUCAGAUGAGACUAGCUACGAGUAAAACCAACCCUCAAGUUUCCUCGAGGUGGUCCCGCAGGCAGCUCAGUUCGGACCAACACUCAGAGGAGCACUGGCCCGGGGGGGGGGGGGUUAAAAUAAAGAUGACCCUUGAGUCCGCGGAACCCAAGGGAAAAAGGGGCUAGGUGGCGAAUGGUAAAACCAAAGUUGGGCAUUGCUGGAAGAUUUUUAUUCAAGGCAAACUGUCAAGGGGUUCCCAUUAUAACCCAACCGCAUAAGGAACGCAAAAUCCGGGAACAUAACACCGAUAUGACGGAAACUAGGGUGGCAAGAGUGGUACAAAACACCAGGCAUAAGGCCGAGCCUUCCACCCUUUACCAAGUAUAUAGAUGCAUUAAUUAAAUAAGAUAUAUUGUGAUAUCCCAACAAGUAAACAUGUUCCAACAAGGAACAACAUCUCCAUGUUCCAACAAGGAACAAACUUCAAUCUUCACCUGCAACUAACAACGCUAUAAGAGGGGCUGAGCAAAGCGGUAACAUAGCCAAACAACGGUUUGCUAGGACAAGGUGGGUUAGAGGCUUGGUUCAACAAUAUGGGAGGCAUGAUAAGCAAGUGGUAGGUAUCGCAGCAUAGGCACAGCAAAGAGCGAGCAACUAGCAAGCAAAGAUAGAAGUGAUUUCGAGGGUAUGGUCAUCUUGCCUGAGAUCCCGCAAGGAAGAAGAACGAGUCCAAGAAGAAGACAAACGGGCGUAGUCGAACGGAUCCUCACAAUGCGACAUUAUCGGAACCAACCCGAAGAAGCAACACCGGAAAGAAGCACACAACAAAGUAAACAACCACCACAUAAGCAUGGCACGAUGCGCAAACAAGUAUGAUGCAUGUCCAGUUUAAUGAGGCAUGGCAUGGCAAAGUGCACAAGCAAUCCUACAAAUUAAGUGGAGCUCAAUAUGCAACUCCGUUGCAUAUUGACGAAACACCACGCGACUUAUUUAGUUCGAACUCGUUUAUGUACCCAACAAGAUUAAAUGUUGAUUAAAUGUUGAUUAGCAUGUCCAGAAGCAACGAACAACAAUUCCGGUAAAUCCCCAUAUGCAUAUAUUAGGGUUGGUACUGUUCUGCCCUAAACCAUAUUUUAUAGUUCUUAAACAUUCAAAGAGAUGCCACCAUGUUAAACUAGGAAAAAUUCUACCCCAUUUACAUAUAAAGUUUAUUAAAUUUGGAGCUACGGUUAAAUAGUUAUGAAUUAAAUCAUUUUAGCAUGGCAUAGGAGCAAAUUUAACCAAACGGCAUUUUAAACAUAUCAAACAUGGAGGAAAAUGGCAUAAUAUGAAACUAGAUGCAAUUCUAAGCAUAUUUCAUAUAUAAAGUUUUUCCAUAUGAUGCACAGUUUGAGAUAUAUGAUAUGCAUGAAGUUUGAGGGUUUUCCAGCAAUUCUGUUUUUAACUGGAUAAAUAGAUAAAUCACUCCUCAGGAAAAAAACAGGAGUCGGGCCGAAACUGGCCCGAACUAGGCUGCACAGGAGCAAACAGGAGGUGGGCUUCCUCACGUUGGGCUGAGGCCCAGUCAACGCAGUGGUGGGGCAGGCUGGAUCUAUAGGGAAGCAGCGGGCCGAUGUGUAGUGCGGGCGGCUGGGCCUUGGCGCCGGAGAUGCGGGGCAGGACGAGGCCGAGGAGAGACGGGCCGUGGUGCUCGUCCAUCACCGGAUCGAGUCAACGAGGGCGGCGCUCGUCCUGUUGCAUGAAGCAGAGGAACGAGUGGGCGUCGCGACUGCAGGGGCUUGGCGGGGCGACGAAGAAGGUCUGGAACGGGCGGCACGGAGCGGAUCUGGACGGCAGUGAAGUGGGCCAGACGGCUGGACAGCGGGGCGAGCUGCGGCAACGGCGAGCGUCAGCUGCAAGGCCUCAUGGCGGGGACGAAUCUCUCCGGCGAGGAAGUCAGGGGCUCAGUCACCUGCGAUGAUGGCCAUGGAGGAAUUAGAGAGAGAGAAGGAGGAGAUGACGCCAGGGAGAAGGGAAAAAGGAGAGGGGCUGGCCUGGCAACGACUCCGCUGCUGCUGCUGGACGACGACGAGGAGGCAAGAGCAGGGGGCCUCGGUUGCUGCUGCAGUUCGCGUGCUCCGGCACGGGCGGAGCCAUCAGCGAGGAGAAGAGAGGUGAGGUGGCAGUGGCCUUGCAGGUGACUACGCUCGGGAUCGAGGAGGGACAUGGGGGAGCGCAGGUUGGUUGGUGCAGGGGGAAAGAAAGGAUCCCGAGGUGGGGAAUGAGUGCGGCGACGACUAGGAGGAUCCCUAGAAAUUGGGGAUUUGGUCUGAAAUUAGACUAGGGGUGGACUAUAUAUAUACAUCACGGAUUAGGUUAGGGGCUAUCUCGACCCUACGAUCGCAAUCGGACGAUCGCGGAUAAAAUAGCUAGGGAGUCCAAAUAUGGAAACAGUGAUAUUUUGUAGAUGUUUGGGGAUGAUCCGGACACAACGGUGACGACUCCCCGGGUCGGGUCCGGGACAGCUUUUGGGCGCGCGCGUGAGGAGGGCCGCGGGCUGACGAGAGAGGUUAGGUAGGGCCUAGCGGUGAGUAGUGGGCUGUGUAGACGGUCUCGAGCUGAGAGAAGAGAAGAGAGGGAGGCCCGGCGACUGUUUCCGGAGACCAAAAAUGUCCGACGUUAGACCGGCUGCUAUUGCCGCUAUAGUUUAACGAUUGGGCUAUCGAACAAACUCCGAAUGCGAUGAAACUUGGCAGGCAGUCUAUGUACACUAUAAUAAGACCACACAUCAACUCUCAUCCCAUUCCGAGAACAUUUUCCGGCCACUUAUAAAAUAAUAUUUCGGACGUGCCGUGGGCGUGUGCAAGUGUGGUUGGGCUCAGAACGGACAACAGAGAGAACUGGGGGAACCCAGACAGAUGCAAGUUUUAAAAACAUGAUGAUGCAAUGCACAUGAUGACAUGACAAGAUGCAACACGCAAGCGAAUGACAUGGCAACGACGGUGAAUAACUGGAAGACACGUGGCGCAACGGUCUCGGGGCGUACAAUAAUAAUAUUUGGAUUAAGCACACAUUGCAAACCUCAAUCUCAACUUCCGCUUAGACCCCCUAAUAGUACGGUUUGUCCUAUGACUCAAAUAGAAGAAAAUUAAACUAGAAAGACAAAGUCUUCACUACACUUCGUAUUCCUCGCAACAAGUUGAUUGUUCCUUGAAGAAGCAUUCCAAAGAUAUUCAUUGCCACCACAAUUUUUAAGGAGCCAUAACUCUCAUAUUAAACCUAAUCCUAAGGACUUUCACCUUGUAUACUCAUAAACACAUUAGUCCUUAACUGUUUUGUCAUCAAUAAUCCAAAACCCUCUAGGGGGCACUAUAUACACUUACAUUCUCCCCCAUUUUGGAAGAUUGAUGACAAUACCAGUUAAAGUUUCGAGCGAGGAAAAAAUAAAUUAAAAGUAAAAAAAUGAGGAUUCUAAAUUCAAAGACAUAGAGAUAGCUCCCACUGAAGAUGUGCAUAUUGAAGAAUUUGCUUUGGAAUGCAAAUGCACAUGACGUGUUGAAAUUGUGGAGAUCCUCUGUCUUGAAAUUUGAGGGCAUGCAUUACAUAUAAGAUAAACUUGAGAGGAAUAAUAAAAUGCAUACAACAACGAUCUCUCAGGAAUAACCAUAUGCAUAUAAGAUAGCCGUUUAAACAUGCACGAGGAAUAACUUGUUUAAUGGUUAUAUAUAAGCACAACAUAAAGAGUUUACAAUCCGUUAAGAGAUAAAUCAAAGUAGCAAGCGUGGUAAACCCGAGGCAAAGCCCGCCAAAGGAACCAAAAAGCUAUUAACACAUUGAUCUCUCCACCUUUGUAACAUGUGACCAAAUAGGUUGAGAAACAAAUGGCAAUAUACUUGUCUGACCCACUCAAGGAAGAUGCCAAUGAAGAAUCCGAAACAACAAAGAAGUUGAAGUCGUGAGAGCGGUCGUGGUAGCUUCUUGGUCCAUGACAGAAGUUGGACCAAAUGGAGCAUCUUGGUGUUGAGUAGGAUCAAAAAACGUCGAGAUAGCAGCGCCAUCAAGGACAAUGUCAUUAGGACCAUGAUCCCAUCAGAAGAGCUUGACUGAGUGACUGAUGGUAAGAUAUCAUGCAUCCACAUGAUCCAGUGUGCUACCAAUAGUGAACCUAACUCCAUGUUGUUACAUUGUUGACCUUGGAUUAUUUUUUGUGUCGAUUUGGCGUACUAUCCCGCAACAAUGUGUAUGGUAUCAUCUAGUAUCAUCAGAAGUGUUGGGUUCUAUGGUAGGGUGCGUCGACUACAAAUUAAAAUUUCCUAUGUGCAGAACAACCAAGAACAUGCUAUGGGAGAUGGAUCACAGUUCGUUACCACUAGACACGCAGUGCGUGCAGCGGAAGAAGAGUUGGGGCAGCGCGUCCGCGUGGAUCGUCUCCUCCUUGUUCGAUCUACCUCGAACAGUCGGUCGUCGGUUCCCAUGUACAGGUUCACCGGAGCGGCGCAAGUGCACCGCCUCUAACGGUAUUCGCGCGUGCAGGAAGAACGUCGUGCGGCGGACUGCUAGGUCCGAUCACACAAUCGGCGGCGAGUGGAGGUGUCUAUUCGCAACACAUGCAAACCCUAGUGAAAGCGCCGAAGCGAUCAACCCCAUGAGUGUGCCACACCCCACUUUAUAUAGGCGUCCGUCACGGGCUCAACACUUGGGCCUCGCAUGGACCCUAAAGCCCAUAAAUCUACUCGGCCACAAUCCGAAUACAGCUCGGAUCACAUCCGACCAGUGUCCCCGGAUCUGACCUCAUAGGUUCCUUCCCUUAAGCGUGUGACCCCUUAGGUUCAAGCCGGCUUGGUCGCAGUUCGGAUCACCUCCGAACUUCACGGUUGGUAGCGGCCCCUAGCAAGGCAUGCCAAACACCAAGCAGACUAUGAAGCUGGUUAGGCGAACCUGUACAUCAUACUUCCAUUCCUUUUGCCACACGAUAUAUGUUGUCGGGCUCAAGACGAGUCUGUCAUCCUUGUGCUAGCCCGACCUCUUUCUCGUUCCAGUGAUGCCGACCACAAACCGGAUUAUCUCAUAAUCCAUGUCGCAUGGCCAUGAUCAUCCUGGUCGGAUCACACGAGGGGCCCAGAGCAUAUCUCUCCUGACCGGAGGGCAAAUCCCAUCUUGCUCGACCAUGUCUCACAGCAUGGGUCUGGACAAGCCCGAAACCUACCUUUGUAACUAUCCAGUCACGGAGUAGCGUUUGGUUGGCCCAAAGCAAGUCUGUCACCAUCCCGAGUACAUGCACCAGCUCAGGUCUUAGGACAUAGAACACAUGUUGUACUAGAGACUCACGGAUGACAUAUCGCUGCGUCUCAUAGUUGGAUCUGUCCGACUCAGACCUUAUCUCAACUCGGAUCCGACUACGUCGAAUCCGACCAGAUCCUUCCGAGUCCAUAUUAUCCGGUUAACAUCCAAUGCUCCAUGGCUAGUGAGACCAAGCCAUCGACCGUGUCAUAUGCUAGUCUAGUCUGCUGUGCAUCCACACGGCCCUUUUGACUAGGGACCUUUUAGGAUGUUCAUCAUACAAUGCAUAGUCCCACAAACAAGUCACGUACUUUCUAAUACACAUCAUUGAUAAUGUCCAAGGACUAUCUUUAUUCAUAAACACAUAGGAAAUAUCAUCAUACAUGAUUGCCUCUAGGGCAUAUCUCCAACAAGAAGCUCCUUGAAGUCUACUUUCCAACCCCCAAAAUUGUGCAUCAUUUGGUGCUAUGUAGCCAAAGCUCUGACCAUUUUGGUGGAAAGAGCCCAGGCUGUCAAAGCUGCGCGAGAAUUCUAUUUGGCUUUUACCUUGCCAAGGCAACCAUGCAUUAGCCAAAUAGUUUCUUAAUCAUUUUCACACCUUAGCUGGUUCAAAAACCUAUUUUGGUUCCACACCUAUCCCAGGGGUUGUCCUGUGACACCCCGUCUAUAAUCGUGCACUAAUCAUAUACGCAUCAUGCACGACCACGAACGAUGACUCACGUCAAUAUCAUAACACAACUUUACGACACAAAUUUAAACAUAAAUCUUUAUAUUACAAGCCAGGGCCACGAGGACCCAAAAUCAAAGCAAAUAUCAUCUGAGUACAGAAGUAGUUAGACAAAUUUUGCCUUAAGAAGGUUGAGCAAAACAACGACUCUAGAUCGAAAGGUAAGGCUGUAGCGCCCCGAGACCGAUGUGCCAGGUGUCCUCCAGUUAUUCAUUGUUGUUGCCUUGUCAUUGCUUGCGUGUCAUGCAUGUCAUAUCAUGUCAUCAUGUGCAUUUCAUUUGCAUACAUGUUCGUCUCAUGCAUCCGAGCAUUUUCCCCGUUGUCCGUUUUGCAUUCCGGCGCUCCUAUGUCAUCCGGUGUCCCUUUUCUACCUCUUUUCAUGUGUGGGUGUUAAAUGUUUUCGGAUUGGUCUGAGACUUGUCAUGCGGCCUUGGUUUACUACCGGUAGACCGCCUGUCAAGUUUCAUGCCAUUUGGACUUCGUUUGAUACUCCAACGGUUAACUAAGGGACCGAAAAGGCCUCGUGUGCAUUGCAGCCCAACACCCUUCCAAAGUGGCUCAAAACCCACCUAAACCUCCUCCAUCAUCUAUAUCGUUCGAUCACGAUCGCGUGGCCGAAAACCGCACCUCUUUUGGAGUCUCCUAGCUCCCUCCACCUAUAUAUAUAUAUGUGUGCCUCCCGGAAUUUUCGCGCAGAUAAAACUCUAGCCCCGCUCCUCGCGCCGCCGGACAAAACUUCCCACCACCGGCCGGACAUGUCCGCCGCCCUCAGCCACCUCACUCCGCCCAAUGAGGUAGCGCCACAUCACCCGCCGCCGCCUCCCACGCCAAUCGCGUUGCGCCACCUCAGCCGGCCGCCUCCCUCCCUCUCCAUCGCGCCCGCCACGGCCCGCGGAGCCCAGGCGGGGCCCGCCCGGCCCGGACCGGCAGCGCCGCCGNNNNNNNNNNNNNNNNNNNNNNNNNNNNNNNNNNNNNNNNNNNNNNNNNNNNNNNNNNNNNNNNNNNNNNNNNNNNNNNNNNNNNNNNNNNNNNNNNNNNNNNNNNNNNNNNNNNNNNNNNNNNNNNNNNNNNNNNNNNNNNNNNNNNNNNNNNNNNNNNNNNNNNNNNNNNNNNNNNNNNNNNNNNNNNNNNNNNNNNNNNNNNNNNNNNNNNNNNNNNNNNNNNNNNNNNNNNNNNNNNNNNNNNNNNNNNNNNNNNNNNNNNNNNNNNNNNNNNNNNNNNNNNNNNNNNNNNNNNNNNNNNNNNNNNNNNNNNNNNNNNNNNNNNNNNNNNNNNNNNNNNNNNNNNNNNNNNNNNNNNNNNNNNNNNNNNNNNNNNNNNNNNNNNNNNNNNNNNNNNNNNNNNNNNCGCCCGCGCCUCGCAGCGCCACGCCGCCUCCUCCCGUCGCCGGCGAGCGCCGGAGCCGCGCCGCUCCUCGCCGGCGUACCGCCUCUCCGGUCCCCUUCCUCCUCUUCGGUCGACUCCGGCGAAGCCCUCCGGUGGUCCUCGAAGUCCGUGCCCCGGCCAGAUCCAGAUCCAAAUUCAAACUUGGUUGACUUUCCCUCCUAACCCUAGAAUUUUUUGCAUACUUCUUCAUGUCAUAACUUCUCCACUGUUGCUCCGAUUCGUGCGUGUAGCAUAUCAAAAUGUUCGCCUCGACGAGUACAUCAUUUCAUCCCAUUGCAUCAUUUUCAUUUGAGCUCAUCUUGAUGACCGAAAUGCUGUUGGAAUAGGGCUAUGUGAUGAUAGUUUCAGAUCUGUUUCAGCAUUUGCACUUUUGUCAUUUUUGCCAUGAUUAAUGUGUGCAUGCUAUGAUCCUGAGCUCUACAUGUGUUUUGAAGAAUGCCAUGCCAUCUUUACAGGGGUGUAUGCCAUGUAUUUUUGUCAUCUUUGUGGUGACUAGCACAAGCAUGCAAAGUAGCUUACUCAAUGACACCAAGUCCUUGCCCUGUCAUUAUUUUUUAUGCCAUAUGUUCAUGUUGAUACCGAGUGAUCCAUGCCUCUUUUGAGCAUGGUCUGUAAGGAUGUUUUGUAGAUAAUGUUGUGCUCUAUCCAUCCAUGCCUUUGUUUGCAAUUAUGGAGCACCCUAGCUUGACUCAAUCGAGCUCUACUUUUGCUAUAAAAUGUUCCUGGCAGAUUGUUAACAUGUUUAGCAAUUUUGCCGAGCUUUGUUGUUGUUGAUCUGUGCAUGUUAUGUUGUUGUUCUUGCCAUGUCUAGCUUCUAUGCCAUGUCUAUUUGCUGGGUGUAUGCUUAGUUUGUCAUGCAAUGCCUCGUAGUGAGUGCAUCGAGCUCGUAAACAUGCCUACUCAUUAUCUGUUUUGCCAUGCUCCAGUUUUUCACCAAGUCUGAAUCUGCUUUCAUUAAUUACUAUGUUCACAUGCUUGCAAUUGUAUUUUCUGAUCCCUUUUGGCUCAUGGUCACUAAGGGACUUUUGUUGUAUGCUUUGAGUAGCUUCAUGCCAUGCCUUGCUUUGCCAUGAUAUCUUCCUGUAGCAUGUAGUUAUCAUGCUCUAAACAUUGCUUCCUGAUGAUAAAUUCCUAACAUACUGUUAAUUUCACUAAGUCUGAAACCUGUUAUCUUUUGCACUUUUGCCAUGCUUGUGUGAACCUGUUAUUGAGUGAAUUAGCCGUAGCUCAGUGUUCAUAUUUUGUCAAGCAUCAUGAGUGGAUACCUGCCAUGUAUUUUGUUGCCAUGUUUGAGUGCAAUAGUUUAUUUAUCUUGAUGCAUUUAGAAGGCUACUUGCUAUUAUCGCAGACCGGUGCCAUAUUUGUUUUGCUUGCCUUUUCCAAACCGCGCAUCCAAUUCCGGUGAUCUUUUAUAUCGAUUUCGACCGAAAUCAACUCACCUUUCCAGUGGCACUCUUAGUUUUCCAAGUUGAGGCCAGGUUCAAUCAUUCCUUUCCAAAUCAUGCAUAUGCAUCACAUAUCGCAUCCCGCAUAUCAUACCAUGUUUGCAUCAUGUUGCUUGAGCAUUGCACGUGGUUGAUUGUAUUCAUUUUGCUUUUUGUUCUUGCUUGGGUAGAGAUGGGAGACGAGUACGUGAACGAGGAGCCCGUUAAGUACGCUUUCGAGGAUCAAGGCAACUCUGAGAACUUUGUAGGCAAGAUGACCAUACCCUCGAAAUCACUUCUAUCUUUGCUUGCUAGAUGCUCGCUCUAUUGCUAUGCCUAUGCUGCGAUACCUACCACUUGCUUAUCAUGCCUCACAUAUUGCUAAGCCAAGCCUCUAACCCACCUUGUCCUAGCAAACCGUUGUUUGGCUAUGUUACCACUUUGCUCAGCCCCUCUUUUAGCGUUGUUAGUUGCAGGUGAAGAUGGAGUUUGUUCCAUGUUGGAACAUGAUUAUUGUUGGGAUAUCACAAUAUAUCUUAUUUACUUGAUGCAUCUAUAUACUUGGUAAAGGGUGGAAGGCUCGGCCUUAUGCCUGGUGUUUUGUUCCACUCUUGCCGCCCUAGUUUCCGUCAUAUCGGUGUUAUGUUCCCGGAUUUUGCGUUCCUUACACGGUUGGGUUAUAAUGGGAACCCCUUGACAGUUCACCUUGAAUAAAACUCCUCCAGCAAGGCCCAACCUUGGUUUUACCAUUUGCACUAACAACCUACCACCUUCCCUUGGGUUCUGCAUACUCAAGGGUCAUCUUUAUUUUAACCCCCCCGGGCAAGUGCUUCUCUAAGUGUUGGUCCGAAAUGGGCAGCCUGUGGGGCCACCUCGGUGAAACUCGAGGGCUGGUUUUACUCGUAGCUUGACCUAUCCGGUGUACCCUGAGAACGAGAUAUGUGCAGCUCCUAUCGGGAUUUGUUGGCACAUAUGGGUUGCUUUGCUGGACUUGUUUUACCAUUGUCGAGGAUGUCUUGUAACCGGGAUGCCGAGUCUGAUCGGAUUGUCUUGGGAGAAGGAAUAUCCUUCGUUGACCGUGAGAGCUUGUGAUGGGCUAAGUUGGGACACCCCUGCAGGGAUUUGAACUUUCGAAAGCCGUGCCCGCAGUUAUGGGUAGAUGGGAAUUUGUUAAUGUCCGGCUGUAGAAAACCUGAAACUUAUUGUAAUUAAAAUGCAUCAAUCGUGUGUGUUACCGUGAUGGUCUCUUGGCGGGGUCCGGGAAGUGAACACGGUGUUGGAGUUAUGCUUGACGUAGGUUGUUCUAGGAUCACUUCUUGAUCAUAGUUGUUCGGUCGUGCUUUUGCCUUCUCUUCUCGCUCUCAUUUGCGUAUGUUAGCCACCAUAUAUGCUAGUCGCUUGUUGCAGCUCCACCUCAUACCUUUUACCCUACCUAUAUGCUUAAAUAGUCUUGAUUGCGAGGGUGUGAGAUUGCUGAGUCCACGUGACUCACAGUUUACUUCCAAACCCAGAUUGCAGGUGCCGAUGAAACCGUGCAGGUGACGAAACCAAGCUAAGGAGGAUCUCGAUGGAGUUCGCAUUCGUUUUGUUGUUCCAUUUCCAGUUGAUCAGUAGUGGAGCCCAGUUGGGACGAUCGGGGAUCUGUGUAGCUUUUGGGGUAGUCUUCUUUUAUUUUGGUUCCGUAGUCGUACCUUGAGUGUAUCUGGAUGAAUGUAAUGUUUUAUACAUGUAUUGUGUGAAGUGGCGAUUGUAAGCCAACUAUGUACCUUUUCCCUUAUUGUAUUACAUGGGUUGUUUGCAAAGAUUACCUCACUUGCGACAUUGCUUUCAAUGCGGUUAUGCCUCUAAGUCGUGCUUCGACACGUGGGAGAUAUAGCCGCAUUGAGGGCAUAACAAAGGCCUCCUGCAUGGGACCUCCGGACUACUCUUGGUCAUCGGUCUCUACGUAGUAAGCACCAUCGGGGAAAUCUGCAUCUGCGGUGCUACCAGUUGUUGCAGCAACUGGGUCGAAUGAAAAAGGGAGCAAAGCAAUGAUGAGUACUCAUCCAAAGUACUUGCAAGACUUACAUCAAAUCUAUACUAGAUAUGCAUUAGUAUCAAAGGAAUGGGGUAGUAUCUAUGGACUAAGCUACAGAUAUGCCAGAAUAAAGGGGGAGAAGCUCAUCCUAUCGAAGACUACAUCAUUCAGCAGUAGAAGAGAGGAGCGUAUAUAGUAUCGUCUUAUAUCAACAUAUAGCAAUAUUCAUGCAUGGAGAUCCUCUCCUCGUCUCCCUGAGAGAAAGUGAUCACCGGGGGUAUCUGUCUCUUAUCUGGUUGUGUUUUAACAAGUAUCCGGUUUUAGCUGUAAGAGGUCGGGAUACAACUCCAAAGUCAUCCUUUUACCAUGGACACGACUAUUUGAAUAGAUUACUUCCCUACAGGGGUGGACCACAUUACCCGAUACACUCGAUUACCCCUGGCCAAACACACUUUUCUGAGUAAUGUUCGGCCUUGGAUAAUCGACAUGCCGUAGUCGUAUCUAGACUCUCUAGAGAGGUCAACGCAUCGGUCUAAAUCCUAAGCCCGAAGGGGUCAUGGGCCGAUCGCCCUAAGCUCUCAUGCACGUUGCGUGGACGACCGGGACCAAUCCUAGCUACCUCUUUAUACAAAGAAGGCACUUGCGGAUCUCCCAGGCUCGUGCUGCUCAACAGUGAUGUCUGUAGAGCUUUUGGGAGAAAGCGUACGACGCCGAUGGUCCCAUAUACCAUUAUCCCGCACGGCGGUUAGUAUGUAUAUGCCAGUGGCAGUCUCAAAUCAAAUACCAAUCUCGUUAAGUGUGUUAUUAUGAAAUAACCACAGACACCGACCAGGGACCAGGCCCACCUCUCUCCUAGGUGAUUUCUACCUGUCCUGUCAUUCUGCCACAAAGAAUCACUCGGGGGGAUGCCGGGAAUCUAGGUUAAUCACUACCUGGAUGGAACCACUUGUCUCUUCAGCCCCUAGUCCAAACAUUAACAUGACAUAAUAUAAAGCAGUAAUAGUCUUCUUCUUCAUCGGCAUCUCAUUGCAGUCCAUCUCGCUCCAUGUUGUAGGCCACCAAAGUCCGGGGUCCACUGAAGUAACAUAUAUAGUAUGCAGUAUAAGGCAUAUUCAUGAACAUUGCCCGAAGGGAUCACAACCUGAUAGUAUAGCAUGGUAGACGGACAAGGAUGUAGGUCCACUAAUGAGACUCUAGCAUAUCUAUACUAAGCAUAUAGGAUAACAGGUAAGGUGUCAACAAUAGUAGGAAAGACAUGCUAUGCUGCAGUAUAGGAUCUACCGAUAAAGCAGUAACAGUAUCGCAACUCUAAUGCAAGCAAUAGAGAGAAGGAAUAGGCGAUAUCGGAAUGAUCAAGGGGGGUUUGCUUGCGUGGAAGCUCUGUCGAGAAGGAAGGGUUGUCAUCAACGUAGUCGUACUCGGAGGCAUCGGCAGUCUGGGGGUCUACCGAAAGAAUAGAGGAGAUGGGGAAAACAAAUAAAUAACAAACAUACAAAUGCAACACAGAUGCAUGUCAUGUCAUGGCAAAGUGUGUUGAUGAUAUGCUAAUGCAUCCCUAAAGAUUUUAAAAGAAGAGGGAAAACAUCUAGCAAUGUUUUCCCAGUUCCAGGUAUAAUUUGGUCAGAUGAUCCUGAUGCAAAUGUUCAAGGUUCAUAUGUUAAAGGGGUCUGACAGGUAUGUGGAUGACAUAUUCGGAUUCGUUAUAUUUUUCUGAUCAUUUUUCAUAUAAAAUUAUUUUCACCUAACUUACGUUUAUUUCCUAUGAAUUUCCAAAGUUUUAGUUAUUUUCUAGAAUAUCAUUAAUUCAAAAUUAAAAUGGAAAUUUCUAGGUGCACACACAGAGUGUACAUAGCAGUGUGCUACAGGGGCUGACAAGGGUGGCCCAGUUGACUGCCCAGUCAGCAAUCAACACCUCUAUUUCACACACGUUGCAUAUGUUAUAUUUUUUUCUAAGAUAUCAUUGACAUAUAUUUCCUGUCUAUAUCUCACACACUCAAAUACGCUCAUGAAAUCACCAAAAAAACACUAACGAAUCUCUAGUGAUUUCUCGUGCACACACCAUCUCUCUCUAGGUCAAUGUAUCAUUCUCACAAACACCCACGUAGGUGGGGUACAUGCACGAAGAGAAGAGGUGCACAUACCGAUGCACAUACUCAUUCCAACCACACACGCGUGGUUACACGGUGGAGCUCAUUUUUGUAUGAAGAGGCAACCCACGUCAUAAUUUAAUGAAUCAAAGACGCUCUACGACACAGUUCUUGGCUCCGAAAUCAUCCUACCUCCUUUAGCCGAAAUGUGGGACAUCCACCAUCCGGGUCCACAUGUCAUGCACCAAAGUAGAGUGUCAUAGAACAACUGAGACUCACCACGGCCAUACCACCACAGCAAUAAUGGCCAAUGAGCCAUCAAAUCACAUAGAGUCGGCUGUAAGUUGGACCGACGAAGCAACCAUUACUCUUCGCUGAAUCGGCUUCUCCCCCAUACAGUACAAUAGUAGUACUAUUCUUUUUCAAACUAUUAGGAUCAAGAGUAUAUCGACCAGAUGGGGGGAGGGGUGAAUGGGAGAUUCAAAAAUUCUUGCAAAUGUUUUGAAUUGAGCUCAAACACAACAAUGAAAUAUGUUCGAAUAAGAGAAUAAUGAACGUGCACUUUACUAAGGAGCAAAUUAUUCAAGGUAAGAAGUUGUAGUAAUUUGAGCAUUAUAGAUCAUGGGCUUGAUGAUACCAAUGGUGAUGUUGUAAGCUAUCAUAUGAAGUAACAUGGAAGAAUGAUAACAAAGAUAUGAGGGCAAAUCUAACAGGAUAAACUAAGAUGACAACGAAAGAUAUACAGGCUAAAGUAGAUGAUACAAUACUAGAUCCAAUAUAUCUAUCGACAUAGAGGACCAAAGUAAACUGCUAAAGGAAAAGCAGUAAAGAGAGAUAAACCAGUGGUUCUUGAUGGCGACAGAAGGAUUUGGUAGACCACUUCGCCCUUUUGCCAAAGUACUACGUGUGGUUGGAGGGACUUGUGAUUGAACAUAGGAGCAAACCUCUCUCUGUCCUAUUCUCCUUCAACUAGGAGCGGAUCAGACUCCAGUUGAUUUCACUCAUGGUAGAUACUUGUCGGCGAUGUCCAAACCUUCGACGGACUUCUUCAUAAACCAAAAUGACUCUUGGUUGCUAAAGACUUUGUUUGGUGAAGACUCAAGCCGACACCUAUCUAUCUAGAGAGUGUGCAGCUCUCAAGAGUACUAGGUACACGAACACUAGCUUAGAACUAUUGUGAUGCCCAAUCAUUGUCUAAGUUUCGACUUGUCGGAGUAAAUAACCAUGGGUAGCCUAGCCGGCUCCCCCUAGCCCUUCUGAAAAAAUUACGAGCCGAUCCGGCCUUCAAGAAUCCAAGACAUGGGGCCGCCUUCCCCUUGUCGGAUGUCUCCCAGGCCAGCUAUCGGAAGGCAACCCGACUUUAGCCCUCAUGAAGAAAGCCGCGGGAGGGCCGGCUUCGAGAAGCCGGCCGCGAGAAGGCCGACUCCAAGAAGCCGGCUUUCACAAAGCGGUCAAGAUCGUACCCUCAAAGUCUGCAUCCACAUAACGGCGAUGUGACGGGGCGUGGCUACAGUAAAGCCUGCCACCCCCGAAUCCCGGAGCACGCCUGGCACAGUGCGCCGUACGGGUGGCCAUGACCCGUCCGGCGUGGCACUGUUGCCACGUUGACCCUGAUGUCAUCCACGACGGGCUGCCAGCGUGGUCCAUGGGCGGUGGGCCCCUUCGGGGAGAGAGACACCUGAAGGCGGCCAAGCCUCCCCCAGUCAGCCCAAGACAGAGCCGGCUCCCCACAGCCGGCUUGCCACCUCCCUCAAAGGAGACGCCCCAUUAAGGAGACAAGACGCGGUGAGGCUACAGCGAUCACCAGCCGGACGGUGGCACUGUAGCCACGCCCACCUCGGCGAAGCCCUCGUCACCAAGAUUGAGCAAUAGUAACCAGCCGCCGACAAGGCCCUGGAUAGUGGGGCCCUGUCGACCAAGGAGCCGGCAGCCGGCGGGACCCAUCAGCCGGCGGGCCCCAGCAGCCGGCACCGAAGCCGGCGAGUGUAGACAUAGACGGCUGGGCCCCAUGCCCAGCCAGAUUACCAUUGUAUCCCCGGGGGGUAGGCCUAUAUAAACCCCCUGGGACACCCAUACAAAGGGUUGAUCCCUGCUAGUUUUAGACACCACAUAGGGAGGAGAAGAGAGCGAGCAGUGCCCUUCUUCCUCCUCUCGCCAAACAGCUCACGGAGCAUCGUGUAGCUACUUGUUCAUCUAGUGAUCAUGCGGAGACCCCGCAGAACAGCAGUAGGGGUGUUAUCUCCACGGAGAGCCCCGAAGCUGGGUAAGAUUCGUCGGCGUGCAUGUCUUCGCCUCAUCCCGCUUCCAGGCACCGGCGACGUCUUAUUGGCUCCCACAAUGAUAAGCCACCCGUUGGCAUAUGUCGCACCUACCACCCGACAUUUGGCGCCCACCGUGGGGCCAGGUGCACCAUCGUCCGGAGACCUGUUCUGGACGGGAACCCUCUUCCUCCCCCGCGAGCGUAGCCAGCCCAGCACGCCUGACGGCGCUUGCCACGACGCGCUGCAAGGCGUCACCAACGUCUGCGCAGCGAGCGGCCACGCCGAUCUCCUUGACAAGAUCCUCAUCUUCGACGAGCUCGCCUCCGACGCGGGUGCCGACCACCUCGUCAACCUCCUCGGCCAGCUCCACGUCUCCGGCGAGCCUGCUGUGGACUUGGAGUCGGUUGGCUCCACCGAUCCGAUGCCUGUCGACUCCGACACGGCCUCACUCGACACUUUCCCCACCGACGUCACGAUCUACAACGACCCGCUUCCCCAGGCUGAUGGCGGCGACACUGUCACCACCGAGGUGAUGGUCAUCGGCCACGGCGGCGCUUCUGACAAGAGCGCCCGCGACGCCCCGCACACGGCGAUCCACGACUUGUCCAUCCCCCUCCUGGCCGAUGCCGAUGCUGAAGCACUGGAGGCUCGCCGCCUCGCCCUCCUCGCGGAGGGCCGGAAGUUGGUUUCCAUGAGACGCCUCGCUGAGGCCCACCGACGCGAAGCCGACCGCGCCGCCUUUGGCACGCCGCCCCCAGGCGGGCCCAGCCGGGCCGGCGCUGUCAGACAGCACGACGCUGUCAUCGCCGACAUGCUAGGAGUCGACCGCCCAGUCUACGCCACUCCACUCGAGAACCUGCGCGCCGCCCAGGCGGCCAUAGACGAGCUAGACGGACUGGGGGCCGAAGAACUCCCCCACAUGACCCGACGCAUCUAGCAGCUAAUCGAUGCAGCCGCGCAGCGGCACGAAGCCGACGCCCGCGCGGAAAGCCCUCCCCCGCGCUGAGAUCAUGGCGCGACGUCCCGGACGCUGACUACGGGUAAAACCCGCGCGCGGCACGAGAAAGAGCCGGCUGCCAGCCGAAGCCGAACCCGAAUCUCCAUCGAGCGAGACGCAGAAGGCCACCCCCGGGCCGUGGAGUGGCGGGGCAACCCUCCUCCGCCUCGGCCCCGUGGAGAGAGAUAUCCCACCCCACCACCUGUUGUGCAUCCGACUCUCAGCGGCCGGCUAGGUCGCCGCGAAGGAGUCGGCGAGAACGACGCCCGCCAUCGGAUCGACCGCCUGGCGCGAUCCCUGGUGCUGGAAGAAGAAGACGAUGUCGGCCGCCUUACUUCGGCCCCCGCAUCCGCGACGAGCCUUUCCCCAAAGGGUUCUCGCUCCCAAGAGACACACCCAAGUACAACGGCUCUGUGAAGCUGGAAGAUUGGUUAAUUGACUACUCCAUGGCGGUUAGCAUAGCAAACGGCAACAUGCGCGUUGUCGUGAAGUACGUGCCCCUCAUGCUGCAAGGCACGGCGCGGACCUGGCUCAAUAGCCUCAAGCCAUACAGCAUCAACAGCUGGCUAGAUUUCACAGAAGCCUUCGUCCGCAACUUCACCAGCACCUACAAGCGGGCUCCCAAGCCCAGACAGCUCUCCUUGUGCGUACAAGGCCCCGCCGAGUCUACUCGCGACUACCUCACGCGUUGGGCCGAGCUCCGCAACUCUUGUGAAGGGGUGCACGAGGUGCAAGCCAUAGAAUACUUCACUGCCGGGUGCCGAGAAGGCACCCUCCUCAAGCACAAGCUCCUCUGCGAUGAGCCGACUACCCUUGAUGAGCUUCUGGUCAUAGCGGACAAGUACGCCACCGCCGACUCCUCAAUGAAGACCGAACUUCGGGUAGACGCGUCCGGGAAGGUACUCAACCCGGCGCCCGAGACGCCGGCUGGGGACUCCGGCCGACGCCCACACUAGAACGACCACAAGCGCAAGGGCCCCGUGCCGCCUUCCGCCAGUCGGCAGGUGGCCACAGUCGAAGACGAGCGGCCCGAAGGGCGGCCCGCGCCCAAGAAACCCAAGGGCGGCAGGCCGGCUUGGCAGCCGGCCUUCUCCUACGAGCAAACUCUCGACGCCCCGUGCAAGUUCCACAGCGGCGCGAAGCCGUCCAACCACAUGACACGGAAGUGCCACUGGCUCACUCGAAUCUCCAAAGGCGAAGGGCUUGCGCCGCCUCCGCCUGCCGGUCCGCCGCCUCCGGCUCCACAGCCGCCGACUGCUCGGCCCGCAGUCGGAGCCGUGCACGAUGAGUUCCCCGACGAGCAUGCCGCCUAUGUAAUUUUUACAAGCCAGUCCGAAGAUCGGCGCAGCAGACGCCGAGAGCACCAGGAAGUCAGCAUGGUCGCUGCCAACCCCACCGAGGACAUGCACUGGUCAAAAAAACCUAUCAGCUGGAGCCGGGCCGACCACCCAGAGAUGAUGCCAUCUCCCGGCUCUUAUGCGUUGGUUUUGGAUGCCACCCUUGCAACGGACAGACGCGCCGCCCGUUUCUCACACGUGCUGAUAGACGACGAGAGCAGCAUCAACAUCCUGUACCGUGACACCCUGGAGAAGCUGAACAUCAAGGCAAAGCAACUCAUGCCUACUCGGACUGUGUUCCAUGGCAUUGUACCCGGCCUGUCAUGCGCCCCCAUUGGCAAGAUCAAGAUUGAUGUACUCUUUGGGGACAAGGAGCAUUUCCGCCGAGAAGCGAUCUGGUUUGAAGUGGUGGACCUGGAGAGCCCCUACCAUGCAUUGCUUGGCCGACCUGCCUUGUCCAGGUUCAUGGCAGUUCCCCACUAUGCUUACCUCAAGAUGAAGAUGCCGAGCACCAAGGGCGUCAUCACCAUAGCCGGCGAUUACAAGAAAUCUUCCGAGUGCGUAGCAGCCAGCAGCCGGUUGGCCGAGUCCCUUGUGAUUGCCGAAGAAAAGAAGAUGUUGGACCGAGUCGUGGCCAUGGCCGGCAAACAGUCGGCCUUGUCCCCCGAUCCCAAGGAGUAUGAUGCUCAAGGAUCUUUCCAGCUGGCCAAGGAGACGAAGAAGAUACCUCUUGACCCCGAGCACCCAGAGAGGUUUGCCGUCAUCGGGGCGAACCUAAACAGCAAAUAGGAAGGCGAGCUCGCCGAUUUCCUCCGUGAGAAUCGGGACAUCUUUGCAUGGUCCCCCAAGGACAUGCCGGGUGUUCCGAAGGAAUUCGCCGAGCACAAACUACACAUCCGAGAAGAUGCAAAACCAGUCAAACAACCCCUCCGCCGACUGUCGGAGGAGAAGAGAAGGAUUGUAGGAGAAGAGAUAGCCCGGCUUCUGGCGGCCGGCUUCAUUAUGGAAGUUUUCUUUCCAGAAUGGCUCGCUAACCCGGUCCUCGUGUUAAAGAAGAAUAACAAGUGGCGCAUGUGCAUAGACUACACGAGCCUCAACAAGGCCUGCCCCAAAGAUCCCUUUGCCCUGCCAAGGAUUGAUCAAGUGAUAGACUCCACGGCCAGAUGCGAGCUGUUGAGUUUCUUGGAUGCUUACUCAGGGUACCACCAGAUAAAGUUAGAUCCGGCAGACCGCCUGAAGACCGCCUUCAUCACGCCAUUCGGAGCCUUUUUCUACCUGACUAUGACAUUCGGCUUGAGAAAUGCCGGUGCCACUUUUCAGCGUUGCAUGCAGAAGUGCCUCCUCAAGCAGCUCGGCAGAAACGCCCACGUCUACGUAGACGACAUUGUGGUGAAGACGGAGAAGCACGGCACCUUGCUGGAAGACCUCAAGGAAACAUUUGAGAACCUACGCUGGUUCCAAAUCAAGCUCAACCCCGAGAAAUGCGUGUUCGGAGUGCCAGCCGGCCAGCUCCUAGGCUUCCUGGUCUCCGAACGUGGCAUCGAAUGCAACCCAGUAAAGAUCAAGGCCAUUGAGAGAAUGGCGAUUCCCACCAAACUUCGAGACGUCCAGAAGUUCACCGGAUGCUUGGCCUCCCUGAACCGCUUCAUCAGCCGGCUCAGAGAGAAAGCUCUCCCCCUCUACCGCCUCAUGAAGAAGACCACUCACUUCGAGUGGAAUGACCAAGCCGACCAAGCUUUUCACGAGCUGAAGAAGAUGCUGGCCACGCCGCCUAUCCUGGCGGCGCCGACUGAGAAAGAGCCCAUGCUCCUCGACAUUGCCGCAACCAGCCGGGUGGUCGGCACCGUCAUCGUAGUCCAAUGCCCAGAAGAGGACCGAGCCCAGCCGGUCCAGAGGCCGGUGUACUAUUUGAGCGAGGUGCUGUCUACCUCGAAGCAGAACUACCCGCACUACCAGAAGAUGUGCUAUGGCGUGUACUUCGCCACCAAGAAACUGAAGCCCUACUUCCAAGAGCAUCCCGUCACGGUUGUAUGCACCGCCCCGCUAGCCGAGAUCAUAGGCAGCCGGGAUGCAUCCAGCCGGGUGGCGAAAUGGGCCAUCGAGCUGGCCCCUUACACGAUCUUCUACCAGCCUCGCACCACCAUCAAGUCCCAAGCAUUGGCCGACUUCCUCGUCGACUGGGCCGAGACCCAGUACCUGCCGCCAGCUCCCGACUCCACUCAUUGGCGCAUGCACUUCGAUGGGUCCAAGAUGCGCACCGUCUUGGGAGCCGGCGUCAUCCUCACCUCUCCCAAAGGCGACAAGCUCAGAUACACGCUGCAAAUUCACUUUGCCGCCUCCAACAACGUGGCCGAGUACGAGGCGCUCAUACACGGGCUCCGGCUUGCCAAAGAGCUCGGCAUUCGCCGGAUCCUAUGUUAUGGCGACUCGGACUUGGUGGUCCAGCAAUCAUCCGGCGAGUGGGAUGCCAAGGACGCAAAUAUGGCAAGCUACCGCUUCCUUGUUCAGUAGAUCAGUGGGUAUUUUGAAGGAUGCAAGUUCCUCCACGUACCACGAGCCGACAACGAGCCAGCUGAUGCCCUGGCUCGAAUAGGCUCCACUCGACAAGCAAUACCAACCGGUGUCUCUCUACAACGCCUCCUCAAGCCGUCUAUCAAGCCGUCUCCAGAGUCCGAUUUCAUCUUUGUACCGCCUGACCCCGAUACAGCCGGGCCCGGCUCGAAGAACCAAGAAGGUGACCCGGGGACUUCGAUAGUCGGCCAGGGGACAUCAGCAGGCGGCUCGGGGACUUCCGUAGUUACGCCCGACCCGGGGACUGCCACACUCGGCUCGGGGACUGCGGUAAUCGGCCCGGAGACUGCACCAACACAACAGGCGGCGGUCGACUCCAGCAUUUCACCACCCAGCCCACCCGCCCUGGUCGCAGUAGCCGCAUUGGCAAUAGAAGAAGUCGCAGCUCCAUCAUGGGCUCAGUCCAUCCUCAACUUCCUAAUAAACCAAGAUCUGCCGGCUGACGAAACGGAGGCAAGACAAGUCCAACGCCGAGCCGGAGCAUACACAAUCGUCAACAGAGAGCUCGUCAAGCGCAGUGUCACUGGAGUCCUCCAGUGAUGCGUCAAGCAAGAGAAGGGCACUGCAAUCGUCAGAGACAUCCACCAAGGAGAAUGCGGCCACCAUACGGCCUCAAGAUCACUCGUCGCCAAAGCCUUCCGCCAUGGUUUCUUUUGGCCGACUGCUUUGGAUGACGCCAAGGGGUUAGUUAAACAUUGCAAAGGAUACCAACUCUUCAGCUCCAAGCAACACAUGCCGGUUUCAGCACUCAAGACCAUUCCCCUCACUUGGCCCUUCGGUGUUUGGGGACUGGACAUGGUGGGCCCAUUCAAGACGGCGCACGGCGGCAUGACACAUCUGCUUGUCGCCGUGGACAAAUUCACCAAAUGGAUUGAGGCAAAGCCGAUCAAGAAGCUGAAUGGGUCGACUGCCGUGACAUUUAUCGCAAAUAUAACAACUCGGUACGGCGUGCCACACAGCAUCAUCACCGACAAUGGCACGAAUUUCGCCAAGGGAGCCUUGGCACGUUUCUGCACGACGCAAGGCAUCCGGUUGGACUUAGCGUCCGUUGCCCACCCGCAGUCAAACGGCCAGGUCGAGCGAGCCAACGGCCUCAUCCUUUCCGGCAUCAAGCCCCGACUGGUCGUACCACUAGAGCAUUCAGCCGGCUGUUGGCUCGAUGAGCUGCCGACCGUCCUCUGGAGUCUGCGCACUACCCCAAACAAGUCAACCGGCUUCACUCCUUUCUUCCUCGUGUAUGGUGCCGAGGCGGUCAUCCCAACUGACAUCGAGUUCGACUCGCCUCGGGUAACCAUGUACACGGAAGCGGAGGCCAAGGAAGCACGGGAAGACGGCGUCGACCUGCUGGAAGAAGGCCGACUGUUAGCCCUCAGCCGGUCCGCCAUCUAUCAGCAGGGCCUGCGCCGCUACCACAGCCGGAAGGUCAAGCCAAGAUCCUUCCAAGAGGGCGAUCUUGUGCUCCGGCUAAUCCAGCGAACAGCCGGCCAGCACAAGCUCUCGGCCCCUUGGGAGGGCCCCUUCGUCAUCAGCAGAGCUUUAGGCAACGACUCCUACUACCUGAUCGACGCGCAGAAGCCGAAGGCACGAAAGAGAGACGACUCCGACAAGGAGUCAGAACGACCAUGGAACGCCAACCUCCUCCGAAGAUUUUACAGUUGAAAUGCAGUAUGUAUCACGCUAACUUUUGUACUAAGUACGAGACAAUAGGCCCCCCGAGGAGAGCUCGGGGACUGCCAUCUUUUAUCUAUGGAUGAAGAGUAUCAUGCUUAUGACCUUGUCAUUACAUUCACUUUUUCCGUCCGGCACCGGGUUCGACUAGUUGGCCCGGGGACUGGCCGCCUGGAGUUAUAUUCGAAGUCCUACCCGCAGUUAGACAAGUAGUGUGCCGGCUCCCAAGCCUUCUCUUGCCAAAAGUCGCAGAUCGAAGAACCGGCUGUCCGGCUGGCAAGAGUUAAAGGCAGGAAAGGACUCCCACACGAAAAACGGCUAGGGACUAACGGACUAAUAUAACAAAAGCCGGGUUUUCUCCCACCACCGACCGACUACCAGAGUAGCCGGCCGGCCGGCUUCCAUUCACCUCGCUUCAAUCUAAGAAAGCUCGAGUACUUGCCUUCCCAAAAGGGGAAGGCGGCAAAGGAAACAGCCUAAGGAUAAAAAGCAUACACGAAUGGAAACCAAACAUGCACACAAUAAUAUUUACAAAAAAGACCUUCAAAAGGCCAGCAUUCAACAUAGUUCGAAUACACCCCCAGUGGGUGGAACUGCGCAAGUUUAAUAAAAUUGUUCAAAAGGCAACAAGCAGGAAAAAACAAGGACGACAUAUUAAGCCAAGGGAGCGACUGGCGAGUCGGGCAGGUCGGUGGAGACGACAGUGCCGGCUGGAGGAGUGGCCGGCUGGCGAACCUCGGCAUGAUCACCGCCUCCCGCAGAGGGCGCGCUAGCACGCGCCUCGUUGCUGGAGGCACGAUCAGGCUGAGGCUGGCUGGCCGCUUCACCGGUCGGCUCAACGUCUUCGCCUUCCUCUCCUUCAUCGUCUUCGCCUUCAUCGCUGGAGGCGAUCUCCUCUGCCGAGUCUUCACCCGCUGCCGGGUCCAGCCCGAACCACUCCUUCGGCUGGGCAACACCGUCGUCAUUAAUUUCAGGAGCGAAGACGCUAAUGUCAGUACACUCGGCGAUCGUCGAAGCGCGCUGAGCGAUAGCCGGCCGCACCUCCUCCAUCUCUUCGUCGGCCUCUAGCCGCCAGGUGCGUAGCUGGUCCAGGUUCAGCCCCGGAUACCAGGCUCGGACGAACUCGAGCGCCCGCCCAGCUCCAAGCCGGGCUGCCGAUGCCUUCCAGGCCUCGAAGCGGCCAACCGCAACCUCCAGCCAGUCGGCAGUCCGACUCGGGGUGCGGGGAAUUGUCUCGCUUGGCCAGAGGGCGGCCAACACCUGCGCCCCGGCGCGCUGGAGGCGGCGGAGCAUACGGUGAGCCAGCUGCAGCCGGGCUUGGACCGCCAAGAGUUGCUCCUCAAGUGUCCGGCUAGCGUCCGGCGCGAUUUCAGCCCCCGCCUACCGGCGCGCCUCGCGAUGGGCCUCGAUGGUUUGGGUGGCGAGGACGGAGUAGCCGGGAAAGUAGUCUGCACAGAGAACAAAAAGCAGCACAAGUCAGAACACAAAUCAGGGAUCAAGGGGCAAGCAAGGAGUAAGGAAGGCGGCUUACCAUCGAUCGGAUCCUCGAUACGACUGAAGCCCUCGCUCAGUGCCUGCUUCGCUUCAGCCCAGCCCGCCGCUUCGGUCUCGAACUCGACCUUCAGGGCGUCCUCACUGUCCUGCGCCUUCUUCAGGGCCGUCUUGUGGCUCUCCUCCUGGUCGGCCAACUUCUUGGCCAGGCGGUCACGCUCCAGGACCAAGGCGUUGUACUCGGCUUCCUUGGCGCGAAGGGCGGCCUGGGACCCACUGAGCUUCCCCCUCAAGUCCGCAUUGGCUCCUGCAAGCAUGAAGACAAAGGAAAAAUUGAUAAGGAAGAAGUCGUCAAGGAAGAUCCGACCCGGGUGCUCAGCAGUCGGCCCGAAUCUCGGGGACUACACCCAGUGGGUGCGCUGACGCGCCCCCACAGGAGAUGAACGAGACAAAGCACGCACUCCGGCUGCUGGUCAGGUCCUCGGUUCUCCGGCCCAGCUCCUGAGCCUGGGAGUUGAAGGCGGCUGCGCGGAGGUUAUGAUACUCCUGGAAGAUUAUACAGGAGGCGAGGAUAAGUUAAGUUGUCAGGACCUAGUAAGUUCCAAGCCACCUGCGCAGCAGCCGACUCGGAACUCGGGGACUACACCCAGUAGGUGCGCUGACGCGCCCCCACGGAAGAAAUCAAAAGAGCAAAAUAACCAAGGCCAGAAGACUCACCCGGAUGACGGCCCGCGUCGCGAGGAACUCUUGGGUGUAUCGCUGCAGCUAGGCGGCCUGAGCUUGAAGCCGGUUCCUGACCUCCUGGGCCGCCGCGUUCAGCUCGCUCGUCCCCCCGUUGGGAGUCCACUCGGACGUGCUGGCGCUGGCCGCCUCCAGGGCCUCCGCCGCCUGGCUAGCGCCCGCGGCUUGGUGCGGUUCUGGUGCGGAGGUGCCACCCCCUACGCGCCGGCGCAAUGCCGGCUGCACCUCGAGGCCGGCCCCUGCGUCCGGCUCGCCCCCGGAGGGCUGCUCUGGCGCCGCAGCUGAUUGGCCGCUUUGGCCCGCUCCAGUCGGCGCCGUCUGCGGUGCCCCCUCCACGAAGAUCACGUGGUCCUCCCUCCUCUCCAUCACCAGUAGGCCUUGGUCGACCUCCUCCGACGGGGGCACAAGAAUGUCGGGGGCCACGGCGCGGAGGGGAACGACGAGCAGCGGAGGCUGGUUGUGCGAGGCCUCCGCCUCCGUCUCCGCGGCUGCCGCCUUCGCCCGGGCCUUGGCCGCCGCGUCGGCCCGCUCCUUCGUCGCCUGGGCGGUCCUUUGCUCCGCCGCCUCCCGUGCCUCCCGUGCGUUCCGCUCCGUGGCCUCCCUAAUGUCGGUGUGGGGAUCCACACGACGGGAGCCUGAAGACCCUCCAGUUGGCCCGACUACGGAGCCGCCAGGACCCUGCUCAAGGGAAAGCGGUGCCCUGUCCGGCGAAUAAAGAAAGGUUUAGAAGAGCUUCGGUCGAAAAAGACAACAAAAAAAUAUAUGCAAGACAUUCGAUGACUUACGCCGAGAUCGCCUGCGGCUGUUUCACCGCCUUGCGAAAGCGGGCUGCCUCAUCCUGCUUGGUCUCCGCCGUAGAAGCCUUGGAUUUCUUCGGCCGGCUGCCGAAGAAGGUCGACGCGGCCCGGCGCUUCUGCGCGCCACCACGGGCAGCUGGCGCGGCAGACUGGCCCGUGCCUUGAUGAUCAAGCGCCGGCUGGCGGUGCGGGCGGCUUCGACCUCAUCGUCGUCCGGCCAGUCCUCGAGGCUAGCCCCGAGCCCCGCGCCUCCGGCCUCGUCGCCUUCCCCCACGAUGGAGUCUUCCUUGGCGGCCUCUCCCAGGUCCGGAUCAUCGGCAUCGUCCAUCGUGCGGUCAGGGAGGAGUUGGCGCUCUACCCCUGCGACCUCGGCUGUCAGCGGAAGAAGAGGGUUCUGCUAAAGGCAAACCAACUGAUCAGAGGUCGGCUAUCAUGAGGCCGGCUACAAAAAGGAAGAAAAGAAGAAAAAACUUACGGCAGGCGGAGGGUUGGCGCGGGAAUACGGCUCCUUGCCGUAUCGCCAAUCCUCGGCGAGCUUGCAGUUGGAGAUGUAGUUCACCAUGUAAGACACCUCUGCAUGAGGCAUCUCCCUGGUGCUCAGCCGGCAAGGGUCGAAGCGGCCGCUCAUUUGGAAAAUCAUGUGAGGCCGGCCUUGGAGCGGAAGUACCCGGCGCUCCACGAAGGCGGGCACCAAGUUGGCUCCGGUCAGGCCCUCCGACUGGAUCAUCACCCGAAGCUGGGAGACGGCUGCGUUCCCGGCCUGGGACAGCGACCUGGCCCGGUAGCUCCACGAAGGUUGCCUCCCAGCCGGCGGGCCGGCUACGUAAGCCGGCAGAUUGACAUAGUCGCCUUGCGGGGCGAAGUUCCUCACGUAAAAGUAGGACUUCUGCCAGAGCUUCACCGACUGGAUCAGCGGGAUGGGCAGGAACGGAUUGUUCUUGCUCGCCCGCCUCAUGGCAAUGAAGGCUCCGCAGGGGGCAGGCACGCCCGCGAUGACGGUGUCGAGCUUGCUUUGGAAGAAUUCCCCCCAGAGCUCGAGCGUGGGGAGAACCCCAAGGAAGCCCUCGCACAGGGUGACGAAAGCCGACAGCAGCAUCACCGCGUUGGGCGUGAGGUGAUGCGGCUGGAGGUGGUAGAAUUCAAGGAAGGCUCGAAGGAAUCCGCUCGCCGGGAGGCCGAAGCCGCGCAGGCAGUGCGAGCGGAAGAUCACCCGCUCGCCCUCCUCCGGUGUCGGCGAAAUCUCCCUCGCCGGUGCUUGACGAACCCACACGAAGUUCUCGCCCGGCAGGCGUCGCGUCCGGCGGAGGAACUCGACGUGGUCCUUGUGGACGUUGGAGCCAUCCCACGAGCUCGACAACGCCAUGGGAGCGACGCAGCGAGGAGCAAGACGAUGUGACAACGGAGACGCGCAUGACCCCGCUACGGCGGGACCAAAGGAACUGAGAGGUCCGACGGCGGAACGGCGCGACAAAGGGUUGCUGCGGCGGCGGAAAGAAGAAGGAAGGCGAGAAGGGGCGGAGCGAGGGAGAGCGUGCGAGCCUCUACCGCUCCCCCUCCUCCCCCUACUUAUAGACCUGCGCAGCGGAGCCGAGGAGGCGUGGCGUGGGGGAACGUGGGGAUCAACUGCGCCCACUCCCCCAUGUCCCGCGAUUAUUGCGCCCUAAUGGCGUAAUAAAACCGCCGCGGGAAGGCAAGCGGUCCGCGUGGGCCGCAGAAGAUCCGCGCUCGGGCCAAGGCCUAGGAGUGGCGGGCCCGGGCCUGCGGCGGCGUCCCGUCGCGCGCGUGCACUGGUAGGAUCUCCUUGCCAUGUGGCCCGCGGGAUGGCGUGCGGUCAGCUCACAGGCCAACCCGAUUCCCGCCAACGAGAAACGGGGCUUCUCGAAGACGACGCGCACAAGCAUAGCCGGCCCCUCAGGAUAGGAAGCUGACCGAGCUUUUCGUCCUUUUGUUAGCCUCGAAGCUCGAUCAGCUUCGGGGACUACUGUCGGAGUAAAUAACCAUGGGUAGCCUAGCCGGCUCCCCCUGGCCCUUCUGAAAAAAUUACGAGCCGAUCCAGCCUUCAAGAAUCCAAGACAUGGGGCCGCCUUCCCCUUGCCGGCUGUCUCCUAGGCCAGCUAUCGGAAGGCAACCCGACUUUAGCCCUCAUGAAGGAAGCCGCGGGAGGGCCGGCUUCGAGAAGCCGGCCGCGAGAAGGCCGAUUCCAAGAAGCCGGCUCCCAUAAAGCGGUCAAGAUCGUACCCUCAAAGUCUGCAUCCACAUAACGGCGAUGUGACGGGGCGUGGCUACAGUAAAGCCUGCCACCCCCGAAUCCCGGAGCACGCCUGGCACAGUGCGCCGUACGGGUGGCCAUGACCCGUCCGGCGCGGCACUGUUGCCACGUUGACCCUGAUGUCAUCCACGACGGGCUUCCAGCGCGGCCCACGGGCAGUGGGCCCCUUCAGGCAGAGAGACACCCGAAGGCGGCCAGGCCUCCCCCAGUCGGCCCAAGACAGAGCCGGCUCCCCACAGCCGGCUUGCCACCUCCCUCGAAGGAGACGCCCCAUUAAGGAGACAACACGCGGUGAGGCUACAGCGAUCACCCGCCGGACGGCGGCACUGUAGCCACGCCCACCUCGGCGAAGCCCUCGUCACCAAGAUUGAGCAACAAUAACCAGCCGCCGACAAGGCCCUAGACGGUGGGGCAUGCUUGUCGACUAAGGAGCCGGCAGCCGGCGGGACCCGCCAGCCGGCGGGCCCCAGCAGCCGGCGCAGAAGCCGGCAAGUGUAGACACAGACGGCUGGGCCCCAUGCCCAGCCGGAUUACCAUUGUAUCCCCGGGGGGUAGGCCUAUAUAAACCCCCCGGGACACCCAUGCAAAGGGUUGAUCACUGCUAGUUUUAGACACCACAUAGGGAGGAGAAGAGAGCGAGCAGUGCCCUUCUUCCUCCUCUCGCCAAACAGCUCACGGAGCAUCGUGUAGCUACUUGUUCAUCUAGUGAUCAUGCGGAGACCCCGCAGAGCAGCAGUAGAGGUGUUAUCUCCCCGGAGAGCCCCGAAGCUGGGUAAGAUUCGCCGGCGUGCAUGCCUUCGCCUCAUCCUGCUUCCAGGCACCGGCGACGUCUUAUUGGCUCCCACAAUGAUAAGCCACCCGUUGGCAUAUGUCGCACCUACCACCCGACAUGACUCUUGGUUUUUCUCUCGUGGAUUUGAAACUCAAAUCUCUCGGAAAGGGGACGCUCAAUCAAUCUUCUCAGACAUCUUAAGCGGAGCAGCCAACGGACAACGUUGGACCGGGAUGGCUAUUUAUAGCCACAACCUUCUGAUACGUCUCCAACGUAUCUAUAAUUUUUUAUUGUUCCAUGCUGUUAUAUUAUCAUUCUUGGAUGUUUUAUAUUAAUUUUAUAGAAACUUUAUAUCAUUUUGGGACUAACCUAUUGACAUAGUGCCUAGUGCCAGUUGCUGUUUUUUUCUUGUUUUAUAUUUCGCAAAAUAUCCAUAUCAAACGGAGUCCAAACGCAGCAAAACUUUUUGGAGAUUGUUUUUUGCCCAAAAGACAACUUGGGAGCCAAGGAAGUACCAGAGGGGUGGCCCGUGGGUCCCAUUAUCCACCUAGGCGCGCCAGAGCCCCCUGGCGCGCCCUGAUGGGUAGUGGGGUCCAUGGAGGUCCUCUCAGCUCUAUAAAUACCCAAAUAUUCCAAAAACCCUGGGGUAGUCGACGGAAAACAAUUCCAGCCGCCGCAAGUUCCCGAACCACGAGAUCCAAUCUAGAGCCCUUUUCCGGCACCUUGCCGGAGGGGAACACGAUCACGGAGGGAUUCAUCAUCCUCAUUGGUGCUCCUCCAAUGAUGCAUGGGUAGUUUACCACAGACCUACGAGUCCGUAGGUAGUAGCUAGCUGGCUUCUUCUCUCUUUUAUAUUCUCAAUACAAUGUUCUCCUCGAUGUUCUUGGAGAUCUAUUUGAUGUAGUGACUUUUUGCGGUGUGUUUGUUGGGAUCCGAUGAAUUGUGAGUUUAUAAUCAGUUUUAUCCAUGAAUAUUAUUUGAGUCUUCUUUGAUCUCCUAUAUGCAUGAUUAUUAUAGCCUCGUAUUUCUUCUCUGAAACUUUGGUUUGGUUUGGACAACUAGAUUUAUUUUUCUUGAAAUGGGUAGAGGUGCUUUGUGAUGGGUUCAAUCUUGUGGUGCUCAAUCUCAGUGACAGAAGGAGACAUAACACGCAUGUAUCGUUGCUAUUAAGGAUAAAAAUAUGGGGUCUAUUCCUACAUGAUUAGAUCUUGUCUACAUCAUGUCAUCAUUCUUAUUGCAUUACUCCGUUUCUCCAUGAACUUAAUACACUAGAUGCAUGUUGGAUAGCGGUCGAUGUGUGGAGUAAUAGUAGUAGAUGCAUGCAGGAGUCGGUCUACUAAUCUUGGACAUGAUGCAUAUAUACAUGAUCAUUGCCUUGGAUAUCAUCAUGAUUAUUUGCUUUUAUAUCAAUUUCCCAACAAUAAUUUGUUUACCCACUGUAUGUUAUUUUCUCGAGAGAAGCCACUAGUGAAAUCUACGACCCGGGGUCAAUUUCCUAUCAUAUUAUUUUCAGAUCUAUUAUUCCAAAAAAUACCUUUAUGCACUUUUCUUUCUUUAUUUUAUUUUGUGCUUUUGUUAGAUCUAUUUAUGAAAUCUCAUACAAUUUUAUCUAUCUCAAUACCGAGGAGUGAUUGAGUAGGUUGCAAGUAUUUGUUCUUUGUGUGCAAGUACUGUUUACAUAGUGUUGCUUGGUUCUCCUACUGGAUUGUUAACCUUGGUUUCAUAACUGAGGGAAAUACUUACCAUUGUUGUGACGCAUCAUCCUCUCCUCUUCGGGGAAUUACCAAUGGAGAUAGAAGCAAUCACCUUCCUUGAUGGGAAAUGACCAAAUAGGACAUGCGAAUCAGCCAAAGGCUGAACGACACGAUUCCAAUGGUCAGAAAUUGAGCACAAUUGUAACAAUCCUUGUGGAGCAAGAAAUUCUAACUCCUCAGUUUGAAAGAUAUCUCCUACAACACCAAAAAAUAACAUCCUCUGCUGAUAGGUAAUCAUUCGAAGUAUAAAGAGAGUUCUCCCGAUCUUUCAAAGGUUUCGGCUAAGCAUCACAGUGGAACUAAGCAUCAAGAACCUAUACCCCUCUUAAUAGUACGAAUGUCCUAUGACUCAAAAAGAGAGAAUGAAGAAUAAUGAAAUAAAUGCUAUGUCUUCACUUCGUCUUCAACUUCGCGACUGUAGUCAAUUUCUUCAGACAACACCAAACAUCCUCACAUCAGCAGUAAUUUUGAGGGGUCAACCCCUUCACUUCAAUCUUCUCGCAAAUACAUCUUAGCGCAACGAAGCUCAUCUUUCUAUGCAACACAGAUAUUCUUUGGUGAAGUUCCUCGAACAUAACACCAAAUACAACAUUUUCUUCGGACUUGCAUGGACUCUUUGCCUCUGUGUGCACUAGAAAACAAAUCUAUCCUUCCCUGUUUUUGGCAAUAAUUUCCAAAACAUAAGGGGGAAAGACUUUGCACCAGCAAUCUUCCCCUUUUUGGAUGGUUGUUGACAGAACAGAACACAUCAAAAGGUAGAUGAAAGUAUAAUGGAAUGUAUUGCGAAGGAAAAUAAGUAGCGAAAGGUAAUCACGAAGAUGAGACACACCCCCUGAAGGUAUGCAUCUUACUGAAAAUUUGACUAAAGUCAUGCAUAAGUAUGUAAGUGGAAGGGAGGCAAUGUGAAUCUUCACUUGAGUAGCAUUGAUAGUAGAUAUCAUUUGUUGACUUAUUCAAUACACUCAAUAGUAUCUGAGAUGUUUGUUGCGACACAAAAUCAUUGAAGAAGAUUUGUUAAAGAGUAUGAAUACUUUGAAAUGAUUUGUCAUAGAAAUAAGCCAUGAAGAUUUUCCCAGAACAUGGUUUGAAUCCACAUGAGAUAAAUGACUACCCUACUAGGUUAGAUGACUAGGUAAUUAUAGAGAAAGGUAUAAACUAUGAUUUUGCUCGAGGUAGAUAUGCUUUCGAAGGUAUUCUCCUGCAAGUCAGAAAUCAAUGAGAAAUCAUGACAGGAAAUAUCUCAUUGAGAUAAGUGCAUUUCUCUUUAGAGAAAUGAGUAUGUGUAAUCCUUUCUCAGCUGCUAUUGCUUUCUCUGCAAGAAGAUAAGCGAAAAAUAUAUUGAAAGAGGGUAAAUUUUGGAGGCACAUGCAACCAAAGACACAAGGGAAAAUAUAACAUUGUAGGGAGGUUAUUAACAUUACAUGACGACGAGGUUUUCCAGCACCACAAGCGGUGCUAUAAGGUUUAACGACCACUUAAGCAAAUAGUUCAAGUACAGAAAAACCAAAUUGUUCAACUAAAAAGCAAAAGGCGAAUGCAAAACUUGCAAAUAAUCCGCACAUCUAGCUCUCGAUGUUCUUCUCCCCCUUUUUGUCAACAAGUGUCAAAAAGGAAGGAGAACGCAUGCAAGGAACUACUCGUCCGAACAACCCUUAGAACUCGAACUAUUCAGCGAAUCAGAACAAGGAAAGGUGGAGGCUGAGGCUAGAGCAGGGCUUCCAUCUUUGGCUUUGGUAUCAGCUUCGGGACCUUCAAAGCGAGGAACAUCUAGCUUGUAAAUUAGGGAGUAUACGGUGUCUUCAAUAUCAUCACCGGUCUCUACAAAUAGCAGAUAAGUGGAGUCAGACCUCUGAGGCAGAACUGGAGUUUGUCUUCGGAUGACAGGAAUUUUAAAUAGCUCUAGAUAGUCAUAGUUCUUUUUGAUGCCCUUGGCAGAGAGCUGCUUACGAGUACAAUGCUUUCGCAGAAGAGCCCAGGAGCACUUCUUCUAUUCCUUCUCAUGCAGAAGAGUUUGGUGAGCAUAAUUGUGAAGCAGAUUUAUCUGAGCCAUCAUCUCCAUGUUUACUUUGCGGUCAAGCUUAAUAUGGCUCUCAAGAGCUUGCUGAUUGCGAAGACAAAUCUUGUAUAGCAAAGGAUUUUCAUCUCGAGGGAUUUUAACAAUGGCCUUCUUGACCUUCAGGGCUCGAGCUGAAUCAGGAGCGGUUGCAUUAAUGGGUGUCUUUCCUUUGCCUACUUCACUUACAAUCGAUAGAGUGUCACGGACUGGAGGAGUGAAAGCUUUCAGCACAUGAGGACAAAAGAACUUUUUUCUGAGUAAGCUUCUCUAUGGCAUAUAUAAUCCAUGGAGCAUACGACUUCAAAGCUUGAGCGCCACCCGCUGCAUAGGCCAUGUUCUGAAUGAAUAGCUCAGGAACAUCAAACCGAAUGCCAUGAGAUGUUGCAUUAAAUCUAUUUUCCACGAUGCCACCAAUAUUUUUCCGGUCGGGUAGUUGGGGUGAGAGAGUUGCACAAUAUGUAGAACAACACUUUGUUAUCAUAUGAUAUGUCCAUUUUGCAUCAAGUUUUCCUACUGUUAUUUAUGAUGUUUUAUACAUAAUAAUGCUUUUUGGAGUAAUUCUAAUGCCUUUUCUCUCAUAAUAUGUAAGGUACACACAAAGAGGGAGAAUUCCGGCAGCUGGAAAUCUGGACUUGGAAAAGCUGCAUCAGGCCACCUGUUCUGUACAACUCCAAACAAGCUGAAAAUUUACGGAGAUUUUUUAUGGAAUAUAUGAGGAAUAUUGGAGCCAAUAAGUACCAGAGGGGGCCCACCAGGUGGGCACAACCCACCUGGGCGCGCCAGGGAGCCCAGGCGCGCCUUGGUGGGUUGUGCUCCCCUCGGCCCACCUCUGGUGCCCAUCUUCUGGUAUAUAAGUCAUUUUGACCUAGAAAAAAUGAGGAGAGGACUUUUGGGAUGGAGCGCUGCCGUCUCAAGGCAGAACUUGGGCAGGAGCACUUUUGUCCUCUGGUGGAGCAAUUUUGCUGGGGGAACUUCCCUCCUGGAGGGGGAAAUCAUCGUCGUCAUCAUCACCAACAACUCUUGCAUCUUGGGGAGGGCAAUCUCCAUCAACAUCUUCAACAGCAUCAUCUCCUCUCAAACCCUAGUUCAUCUCUUGUGUUCAAUCUUUGUACCGGAACUAUAGAUUGGUUCUUGUGGGUGACUAGUAGUGUUGAUUACAUCUUGUAGUUGAUUACUAUAUGGUUUAUUUGGUGGAAGAUUAUAUGUUCAGAUCCAUUAUGCUAUUUAAUACCCCUCUGAUCUUGAGCAAGUUUAGCACUUGUGAGUAGUUACACUACAAAAAAAAAAA
rnacentral:lncRNA from 1 species